rnacentral:lncRNA from 1 species
UGACACCCUCUCGCACAUACUCAAUUUUUCCCUAUAAUAUCGUGAUAACGUUUUGAGUAAUUUCACUUUAGUAAUCUAAAUUUUCUAUCACACACAAAUCUAAUAAAGAAGGGUGGGGUUGGAUCACUACUCCAUCGUUGGCGAAUUAGAAAAACGUCCUAUAAACUCACCAUCCAAGUCUUUCAAUACUGCCUGGAUUUCGCAUUCCGCUUUUCAUAAACCACACUUACAAACAAAUUUAAACUUCUAUUUAAUAAUAACAAAUAACAACAGAGAAAGCCAUACAUAUUAAAAGAGAGAGAAGCAAAGCUCAAAAAGACAAUAAGUAGACCAAACCUGAAAGAUAGGGAAGAGAACUGUUUAUUGCAUUCUACUAGUAUCCAACCCCAGAUAUACAUAUAUAUCCCUGCGAUAAAUAACAAAGUGGAGAUGUCACCGCUCUAGUAUUUGAUAGUAACUGCCUGAGUGAUAAUUAGAGAAAAUCAAGAGAGAAUAGUGCGAUAGAUGCUGAUAAAGUUAGUAGCAAAAAUAAUAUGAUUUAAAUUAAGGGAUAAAAGACAAAGAAGGUGCGAAAUCACAGCGGAGAUCAGACCCAUCUACGAAUAUCUCUCAAAUUAGAGUCACCAUCUUUUUUUAUGCUAUGUAAAUAUCACUCUAUCACUGCUAUCUCUCUUAGUAUAAUGAUCCCACUCACUAGCUGUCUCUAUCCUACUCAAUCUACAUGAAGCGGGAACAAAGAUCCAGCAGAACACAUAUAUAAACGACAAAUAACCACCAGUUCACCCAUUGAUAUGUAAAAUCAUAGUGUAAAAUCUUCGAUACUCCUCACUAAAUAAGUUAUGGCAGUAAACAAGGAAAUACUAGUUAGCAAAAUCGUAAAAGUUACAAUCCAUAAUUAUCCAUUGGAAAAUCAAGACCCAUCGCGUGUCUAAAUCAAAUUUAGCCCUCUAUACUGUUUAAACCCUCUCUACUAAAAGUAAAUAACUGCAAAUCCGAGAAGCUGUUACAGACUGCUACAUGAGAUUCUAAUUGUGAUUUUAAUCCUAUUUUUAGGUCAUUAAUAAUUGUUCCUGGAUACACAUUGACACCAAAUAAGAAUAUCAUUAUGGGACUGAGAGCACACAAAAACCUAUGAUUCAUUACGAGUGUCAAUAUGUAAUAUUAAUUAUGUUUGUUAAGUUUGUUACUUAAAGUACUUAAACGAUUUUAUUCAUAAAAUCAAUCUAAUACAUCGAAGAGAAAUAAGUGGGAGCAACUGCCAGAAAAAGGUGAGGAAAAAGGAAAGACAUAAAGUAAUGACUAUAAAAGCACUAACAAUGGAAAAUCUAUACGAUAACUAUGGAAGAACUGUAAAUUUAAGUAAUAGUUAAGAGUAUAGCAACAUCAGAAGAUGAAAAGUAAUAAUAAUAUAGGUGAGGGUAAUGGGUAAAAUGAUUAAAGAUUAUUUAUAAAUUGAAAUAAUUAAUAUGUAAUUAUGUGUGACAACUUAAUAGGAUCACAUUAGAGUUGGUAAGUGCCUUGUAACCCAAAGGUUUGAAUGAAAAUAACAUCAAAUCUAGUGAGAUGAAAGGUUUUAGAGCUCAUAUGCUGAUAAAUUAUACAUUUACUGGGCUUCUAACACGUUUUUUUGAGAUAUAGCACAAUAAUUGCAAGUAUAUUUAGGAGUAAGUUGUAAGAUAUGUAACUAUAUCCAGGUGAGACCUGUAGGUAAUUGGAAGAAUAUAGGGUGUUGUAUCAAGAGACAAUGUUUUAACUAAUAUCCAACAUUAGUAAUAGAAGAGGAAAAUCUUUGUAAGUGUGAUCCCAAUCUCUCUAUCAAAGAUAAGUUGGGUGCGGGAUUGGUGCCCUGUGGGCUGCCUUAAUGCUCAUAUAUUUAAAUAGGUGAGAACCCCAUAUAUCAAACUGGUUCCAAUAUCCAUACGAUCUUUUGAGACGAGAAGCCAAAUUGAUAACACAUCGAUGCAUCAGCUAUUAAGUAAACAAGAGAAAGACACACUACAGAUGGCCUGAGUACCUCCAUCACAGUGAGUGAUUCGAAUUAAUAUUGAGAUACUUAAUAGAGAGUAUUUGAUGUGAAGUGCUUUUCAGAAUCCUUAUGAAAUAUUUGUCCUACAAAUGUCUUAAAGAUGUUGAGUGAUUAAAAUAGAUACCUUUAGGAUAUGAGACUCUAACAAUGUGAAUAAUAGGAGAGGGAUUUAAAUUGAGCUAUUGAGCUUAUAAUUAAAUUGAAACUACUCUUCUCCUAUUCUAUUUAACGCAAUGAGUAUGUUCUAUAAUGAUCACGAAUCUUUAUAGUUUCUUUCUAAAAGUUCAUUGUAAUAUUUGAUAUUUAUAUGUACGACUUUUUUUCUGUCUAUGCGUAACAUAUCAGCCGAAGGGUGACCUGGGCUACUGCAAUCAAAAGCACAGAAGUAAGGUAUAGCAAAAUCGAUAUUUUUGGAGUGUACUCGGUUGUACAGCGGUUAAACAAGGUAAACAGAAAGAGCUCCAUAUAAAAUUAAUCUAUUAUGUCGACUUCUACUGCGGCAACUAGUGAAAAAUUUGACGAGUGUGUAUUGAAUAAACAGAUAUAAAUGCCUAACAGAUAGAGAAACAGAAAACAUUUAUUGUGAAUAGUUGUAAAUAUGAACAGGAAAAAGCCAAAAGCUUAAAAAUAGUAAUCUUAUAUCCUUUAUGCCAACCUAUUUAAAUCUUAGUGCACAUGAAUCCAGGGGCUUAAUUGAAACUUCCAACACUGCACGUUUUAUAUUCAUUUUAUAAGCGAUACUUUGGAUAUGAGCAAAUAAUCUCUAAAUUUAUUCAAGUGAAAGGGAAUAUUCUCUAGAUGUGAGAGAAAACUUUCUUGCAAGGCAGUGCAUUUUGAGUUGUUUAUACUUGUAGAUCGUCAAAUCCACUAUAACAUUUCAAUUGUUACAUACAUUAUCCUGUAUCCUCUAUAAUGUGUGCAGGCAAUAAAAUAUUAUGUCUUUGUAAAUAUAUAAUCAAAUUAUUGAUAACGUUAUUUAUAUUAUAGAGAUAUCACUUAAAUAAAACUAUAAUUUAUGGGAAUAAAAAAAUCUAAAAAUGAAUAUAAAUCUCUCCAAUAAUUAAAUAACUGUCAUAAAUUAAUCACACAACAUAUCACAUGACUUUUUAAUUCAAUAACCCAACUAAAAUAUCAAAACACACGAGUACCCUUGAGACCCAGAUAGAUUCCAAACAUAGACUAUUUGAGAAGCGACGGUCUGUGCUGGCCGCGUAUGAUUAUAUACACCUGAGAAUGAGGUGAGGCGGACAGCAGUAAAUAUGAUGAUGUCGAGAAACCAAUGUGAAGUUUGAUAUCAUUAUAUUAUAAAAAUAAACAAUCUAUAUCGUUAGUAUAGCUAGAAUGACUAUCACGAAAUACGACGCGGAUGGCAUGAGAACACGAGGCUUAAUUGUACAUGAUAUCCGCAUGAAUUCGGACACAGUGACAUUAAAAGGUAAUAAAGAUAAACAAGCUAUUAAUGAUCAGUAGAAGUUUAUAUUAAAGAGAGUGAAGGUAUAUAAGAAUUUCUAUUUAAUGAAGACAUAAAAAUAGUUUAAGAUAAAUAAGGAAGAUCUAAAAAAGACAACCUUCUCUCUGCUCUUUUCUUUACGGGUUAUUGUAUUAAUUUAUUACCAAUUCUGGCAUCAGAAAAAAAUUUACAAAAAAAAAUAAGAAUAAAGCUGAAAAAUGACACGGAAUCCUGUCAGGACAGAUAAAUAGAAAAACGUACAGCAUCUAAAAAAUCCAGGAUGUUGAUACAACUUAAAAGAUAAGAGACUGAUAGGGUCCUUCUGCGAGAAAAUACACAAUAUUUCUAUAUAUGAAACCCGAUAAAAAUAAAUGCAUGGUGAGAUCAACCACCCAGCGUGACACAAUUGAAACUUACACAAAUACAAUAUAACCAGAAAAUAUCAGGAGGACUUAAUAAUAUAACAAGGCAAACACACAACAGCAUCAUCAUAGCAUAUCAAAUAAUCAUUGAGUAAUCUUGAAUACAUAAUAAUACAUAUAUACCAGCUUACACGCAAAUCGGAGAACUAACACCUAUAGUGACCUGUAGCGCUGUCAAUCUCACAAGAUAUUUGUCAAAUUCAAAAUUCGAGAAUGUCACACUCAUAACCGAAGAGUCUACCUAAAGAGAGAUUCUGUAAGCGAAGAAACAUGAUUCGCUUCAAUAAUCUAUACAAUAGCAACACAAUAUUAUGCCCAUUCAUCCAAAUGCAAAAUUCUAGGCGGACAUAAUGGCUCAUCUACAGUGUAUGACAAGAGCUCAUUCAACAAUUCUCAUUCAACAUAAGGAUAAUAAGCUAAUCAUCGAACAAUAUGCAGCAAUCAAUGCACAUAAUCUCAUAUCAUCAUGGAAAUGCUAAACUUCAUCUUAUUAUAUAUUAAUGUACAUAACACAUAUGGCACAGACAAUAAAAGUCACAUAUAAAUUUUUAUCACGGUUAUGCUGAAAUAGCGUUAUACACCAUAUUUAUCACGUAUGCUAGCCAUUACAUAUUUAAUAUCAACGUAUGCUAGCUCAUCACAAUUCAUCACAUAUGCUAACUCAUCCACAUAUCUCAUCAACCUAUGCUAGCUCAUCACCAUAUUUCAUCAUAUAAAGAACUAUAGAUCAUUAAGGUGGAUAGAAAAAGUUUUAUCCUCUACACUUCGGUUAACAGUGAACAGUGUACACGACCUAUCCGAUAGCUCAAUAAGUAUACUGCACAGUGGAGUGCGAGAACCACACUCUCGAAAGUGGUUCUUACUGUUAACAUAGACUUAGGGUGAAAUAACGCUUACAAAUCAAGUACUCAAGAGAGCCUAAAACGUUCUGAAAGACUAAAGCGCGACUGAGGUUCAACUAAUAAGUCAUUUCGGAUAGCUGAUGCUCCGAGAGACGCAGGACUAAAUAGGAAGAUUCUGUCCACCCAACACCGAGCUUGGGUGCAUCCAACCACUGCCUUAAGAACCAAGCGCGCAAGUCACGUUAUUCGUAGUCCGGGUGGUGAGCGAGACUUUUAUAACAUUUAACUUUAAACGUGAUAUGAAGAACAUGAGCCAACAUGAGGCCACCGGUGCAAUGGAAGACCUCAUCAUCACAUCUCCUACUAGCAAUCGUGGUGUGUCUAUGUGAUUUGAAUUAGAGGAGGACUUGCACUAGAAAAUCACACCAUCUAUUUCAUACGAAUAACACUAUGUAGCUGGACUCAUAGGGAAAUCCAAAUCCGGGCAACGAACCGAGUCGCCGUGAAAUUGCUUAAAAUAAUAUCCAACCAAUGUACACUCGUUCUCAUUACACAAAUCUGAAAUACGUCACAAAAGGGGAUCUCUCCAAACACAAAGCAGUAAAUACAGUAUAUUGAGUGCAAUGCGACCAUUCUCACACCUAUACAUUAGAGCGGUCACCCCUGAACUAGUAUCUAUGAAUCACGAACGUUCGCGACAGCUGCCUGAAUAUUUAGUAACCAAUCUUGCGUAUCUUAAAAAGCAUUCAAUACAUAUAUUAAUGCGCAAAUAAUAUAAACUUAUGGCACAUAAAUGACGUCUGAAAGCACCAUGUUUACAAUAGAACUUGAAGCAAAACGGAGAGAAAUAGUGAUCACAAAUAAACAUAAAUAGUUAGGUAGGUUAUGUUGGUAUAUGUGAAAUCUAUUCUCACUUUAUUCCAACGGCUACGAAACAUAAUAUCACAAAUUAAAGCAUGGAGCUAUAAAAAUGCACUAAUAUAUAAUGCGAUCUAAUUAUAACUCUCCCAAAGAACUAUAAUAUUUCGACGUCGGAAUAAUAACUACACGAGAUUAUCCCAAUGACAACAUCAAUACAAAAAAGUUUAAUUACCCGAAAUAUAACUACAUUAACUCUAUAGCAAUUCUUUCUAUCCAGAAAUAACUAACAGAGAAAUUCCUACUACAAACAUCAACUGAAUUAUGACCCACCCCCCCCCCAGAGCGAGGAUCCGGACCCACAAUCCUGUUGUACAAUCGAUAAGAAGCGGUUAUUAAUAUCUGCGACAUAAAUUUCAAUCAUAAAUGUUCUCAUCAUAACUUGAUCAAUUUCCCAUAAAACAAUAGCUUGCAUAUGUCUUCUAAUUAAAUAUCACCAUUUCUCAUGGUUUUAUGGUAUAUGGAACCGACUAUAGAAUCUAACGUUUCGUUAGAUUGCCUACGUACCCCUAACAAAGGAUCAAGGGAAACCAUUUGACCUAUUUCGCACUUAGUUACAAUCACAAAAAGCAUUUGACAACACUAAUAAUUAUAAUGCAAUAACCAAGUAAAUAUAAUAAUCACAUAGAAUUGAGUUAGGAAAUUAUAAAAUCAUUAUAUAUAUAUAUAUAUACAACACACACAUGAUAUGUAACCAGUGAGAAAGAAACAAUCAACUAACCACCUGAUGGAACUCAAUACUUAGAGCAUAAUCAGUACACCCACUACCUACCACUGUCACAUAAACCACUAAUCACUGACAACAUCGUUCGACUCUCUGUGGUCCACCUGUCCCAAAAUUCUGGCGAGAGAUAAAAACAACACACCCAAUCAAACUAGGCAACCUUUGAAACACCCGCACGACAACCCUACGAAAAUGAUAAUAUUGUACCUCAAUAAAUCCGACUAUGAAAGCUCCAUUCAAUGAUUGGGCAUUGUUCUCUGCCUAAAAGGGAGUCUAUUGGUGGUGGCAAUUGGAAGAAAUCAUUUCCCAAUUGAUGAAUUUUGGGCAAGGUCUCCCCCAUCACCCAUCACUAUUUUUGUACCAAAAUACUAUCAAAUUCCCUCUAAUUUUUGGUGGAACAAGAAGAGAAAGGGCCAAGGUGAUGAUUGGGAGCAGUUUAUAGGUCCAAUUUGUCGGAAAAUUGGACGAGAAACGGCGAGGAGCCGCCGGUUUAAGGAAACAGGUUAAGGAAGACCCGUUUGGGUUCCCUCCUUUUCUUCUUCUCUCCUUUCCUCCUGCUCUCCUUCCCUUUGGUCCUCCUUUCUCCUCCCUAUUUCCUCGAUUGGUCUCCCCUUUUUCUUCCAUUUUCUCCACUCAUUUGUUGCCCUCAGGCAGCCCCUCCUUCCUCCCUUUUUCUGCCACACACACACCCAUACACCAUGCAUAUAUUUCACUUUGCAUUAAUAAUAAUAAAAACAUAGUGUAAAAAUAAUUAAAAUAAUAUUUCAUUCCAAAUACCUUUGGGUUCGUAGCUCAAUAAAACUUUAACUGUAACUCCAAAAUCACUUCUACAUGUGCCUACCCAUCCUUAAGAUCGAGCUCUAUCCGAAUAUGUCAAGAAGAUGAGUCUCGCAUGACACGACGCGGUAGUCAACACAAGUCAACACUUUGCCUCGAAAGGCAUCUUCAUAAACUCACGUAUUAAAAUUAUAAAAUCAUCAUUUUUAGGGACGGGCUGUUACACACACACACACAUGGGUACGUUCAUCAAAACCAACCAAAAAAUUAUUGUACCAAAACAUAGGUACAUUUAAAAAAAAAAAAGAUAUUAGACUUAAUAACAUUAUUAAAUUUCUUCUAUUAAACUUGACAUGGAUAUAUCCUCAAAUAAAUAGAAUGUACCCAUAUAAGUAUAAAAAAAAUGGAUUAGAGAAAAGAUUGAAUGGAUUUUAUAUAAAAAAAAUAGGUACAUUUUAUAUUAAAAAAAGAGUACAUUUUUCACAUGACAAAUUGAUAUAUUUAAGAAUGGGUACAUAUAUGAUUCAAAAAUUGAAAUUUUUUUAUAAAAAUUUAAUAGGUACAAACUUAUUCUAAUUUUAUUUUUUAUAUUUUGGAAAUGUUUGAAUUGAAAAUUAAUUAGGAGUUUAAUAAGGGUGUGAGUAUUAAAACUCUAAAUUAAUUACUAAUUUUUAUUAUAAAAAUUAUGUAACUUACAUGUAAUUCAUUAAUAUAUUAAUGUCAAAGAUUUUAAUCAAAAUCUAAAAAAUGAUAAGGUCUUAGUCAAUGAAUAUUAGAAAAUAGGGACCGGAUACUAAUUUUUCCAUUUUAUAAUUCCACUAUAUUUAUUUAUUUUUUAUUGAAAAAGAGAUCAGUUGGUGACUUUGUCAUGGCAGUUCACCCUUUCGGCGAUCGGAAAAACUCACAUAGCCAUUUCAGCUUUCCACUAACCACCAUCGUGCGAUUUACUAGCCUCAUAAACCAACCAGAAUGUGUGGGAAUGUAUGCUUGAAAUUCAUUCUAACCACUAGACCACCCCGUAAUGGUUAUUCCAUUAUAUUGAAACAUAGCUCUUUGUUUGAUUUAUUAACCUGGAAAGCCAACAUGUCCAUGCAUAUAUUACAUUAUCAUAUCAGUUAUAUUUUGAUACUAAAGACCUAUUAGAUUUAAAUCAUUUUGGACAUAAUCAGGCUAUUCAACAAGUAGCUUCAUCUAUUUAUUUUUUUUCACUUUUGAUGAAAAAAAAAAAGGUUGAGAUUUAGUUCAAUUUGAACUAGUUUAUUUUGUUGAGAAUGAAUUUCACGUAUAUGAAAUGAGAGAUUUUGCAUGUGUUUAUAACAGAUUGGACUACUCCCUAUAUUUCCAAUUGUUUUUAUGGUGGAACCCAAUUUUUUUCAUGGUAUCAGAGCCAGGUCAUCUCACGUGUGAAGUCUCACGGCCACACGCAUUACACAUUACCCAAGUUGUGUUGUCCACGUAUUAUAAGAGAUUUGAACACUCCUCAUAUUAAUAAGUAAUUUUAUAAUAGAACUUCAACUUUUUCACAUUUAUAAAAUAAAAAUUCCAGGAAAGAAUUUCCGCAACAAAUAUAUAUAUAUUCUACCUUGAUGAUUGCAAACUCCCAAUUUAAUACGUUCAAAUAAGAGCUUUUUAAACGCUUUUUGAACACAAUAACACUUUAUAUUCCAUCAAAUAUCAUUGCGCAACAAGAGAUGUAUCUAUUUGAUAGAGACCUAUUUUGAUAUGAUAAGAAAAAUAAAUACAUGAAUAUAUUCAUAUGAAAACAUCAAUCCCAGAGAUUUUAUUAAUUAUGAAUAUAAUUCUUCCACUCCCUCCAUGGAACAACUUUGUAGAAGAGACAGAAUCAGUGUGGGUCACGUCCUCCACUCCCUUCAAUAACCUUGGCCUUUUACACUCCCAAAACCCUACAUAUAAAGCUCAACGUUUUGAUUAGACAGUUGUGGGGAUGCAAUUAACUUUCAUUUCCUUUAUUAAAUUAAAUUAGCUAGUAUCCCACUAAUUUCAAAAUGCUUAUAUAUACCACUUCAAGCAUGAGAUGUGCCAACAGUGGAUAUAAUUUUAGGGUAAAUUACAUAGUAACCCCUCAGGUUUGAGGUCUAUUACAACCUCAUACAAUAUCUUUAAAACAUUUCACUUUCAUACCUCACGUACUGUUUUAUUUCAAAACAAUACCUCUGUUGCAUUUUUCAUCCAUUGAUCCGUUAAGUGCUGACGUGGCUGCCAAAUGUAUGCCACGUGGCAAAAAAAAAUUCUAAUAUUUUUUUUUAACACUAAAUUUUCUUAAAAAAAAAGGAACAAAAGCUGAAACAAAUGCCUGCAACCCCCCAAACCCAAGAAGAAAAAAACCACCCCACCUCCCUACCAAUUAUUCCCCCCACCCUCCCCUCCCCUUCCCCCCUCCUGCUAUCAUGACUGACCCCCACCCUCCCCCUCCUCCCGUGGCUAACCUCACCAAUUAUUCCCCCCACACUAAGAAACCCACAUCUCUCCCUCUCCACCCACCCUCUUCCCUCAUCUACACACUCCACUCCUUAAAUCCAACACUCAUUCCUCUCAUCUUCACUUCAUGAACCCGGUGUAAACGAGAUCUGAGUUUUUUUUUUGUUUUUCUCUGGGUUGCAGGUGGGGGGUCGGGGGAAGAAGAUGAAGAUGGGGGAGAAGAGAGGGGAGGAGGAGGGGGAAAGACGAACUGAAGAGGUUUUUUAUUUUUUUAUUUUUUGGGUUGCAAGGGGAAGAAAAUGAAGAUGGGGGAAAAGACAAGAGGAGGAGGAGGAGGAGGGGUGGGUAAGACGAACUGAAGGACUUUUUUUUUUCUUUAUGGGUUGCAGGGGGAAGAAGAUGAAGAUGGGGAAGAAAAGAUGAGAUGAGGAGAAGGGGGCAUAAGGUUUAUGGGUUUGGGGGUUGCGGGGAGAAGAGAGGAGGAAGAGGGGGAUAAGGUUUCAGCUUUUGUUUUUGGUUUUUUUUUUUUUUUAAUUUAGAAGAUUCAGGUUUUUUUUUUAAAUUAAAAAAAAAAUUUGCCACAUGGCACAGAUUUGGCAGCCACGUCAACGCUUAACAAAUCAAUAGAUGGAAAAUGUAACAAAUGUAUUAUUUUGAAAUAAAACAAUAGUGAGGUAUUAAAGUGAAAUGUUUUAAAGAUGUUGUAUGAAGUUGUAAUAUAUCUCAAACCUGAGGGGUUACUAUGUAAUUUAUCCAUAAUUUUAAGAAAUUAAUUUGGAUCCUCAAUAGGUGAGGAGUUCCUCCUUAAUGCUUCGUUAUUGAUAUACGAAAUUUGGUACUUAUGAUCAUAAUCAUUUAUAUUAUAAAUCACAUUAAAAAUACCAUAUAUGCAAAAAAAAAAAAAAAAUUAAAAAAAUGAGAUCGUUGGGUCAUUGAACUGUGUAAAAAUAAUGGUCAGAUGGUAUAAAAAAGCAUUAUGAACCGUUUAUCUAUUUACUACAUUUGAUUUUUUGCAUAAAUGAUCUUUAAUUACAUAGUAAUUUAUAAUAUGAAUGGUUGUAUUUAUAAAUACAAAAUUUUGUAAAUCAGUAACAAAGCAUCUUAAAGAUUCCUACUUAAUUUUAAAGGACAUUUUGGAUGCAGUCUCUAACUACUAAUGUUCUUUGACUCAAACCUUGGUAGUUUUUAAUUUUUUAUCGAAGUUCCUGACAUUAAUGUAAUAGUGUAUUUCUAUGUAGGUUAUUAUAUUUUUAAAUUAAAAAUAAAAUUUUUAGUUAUUUAUAUUAAUGAGAUUUUAAAUAAAACCCAUAAUUUAUGAGAUUAAAAAUAUUAAAGAUGAAUUAUGCUCUCCAAUAUUUUGUGUGUGUGUGUGUGGGUACAUUCAUUAAAAUGAACCAAAAAAUUAUUGUACUAAAGCAUGGGUACAUUUUGCAAAGGCACAAAAAAAUAUAUAUAUUAGACUUAAUAACAUUAUUAAAUAUAUUUUGUUAAACUUGACAUGGAUACAUUCUCAAAUCAACGAAAUAGAAUGUACCCAUAUAAGUUUAAAAAAUGGAUUAGAGAAAAUAUUGAAUGAAAUUUUAUAUAUAGAAUGGGUACAUUUUUUACAAAUUGGUAUAUUUAAGAAUGGAUACAUAUAAGAUUAAAAAAUUUAAUGGUUACAAACUUAUUCUAUUUUUUUAUAUUUGGGAAUGGUUGAAUUGAAAAUUAAUUAGGAGCUUAAUAAGGGUGUGAGUAUUAAAACUCUAAAUCAAUUACUAAUUUUUUUUUAUAAAAAUUAUGUAACUUACAUGUAUUAAUAUAUGAAUACUAGAGAAUUUGAUCAAAAUUUAAAAACUGAUAAGAUCUUAAUCAAUGAAUAUUAGAAACUAAAAACAAGAAACUAAUUUUUCCUAUUUUUAAGGAGCCAAGCUUUCCUCUAAUUUCAAAAGGGUAUGCAACUAUAUAGGGGAUUAUCUGAAAGAUGCUUAUUCCCUAGAAAACAACUAGCUAGCUGAUAGCUCUGAGAUGAUACUAAACCAAUCAUUUAAUGUACAUGAAUGAUUUGCAAUAACCUCACUAAUAAAACAGAUAUUAUAUAAAAUGUAACAUCAAAUAAUUUGGAUGGAAUUGGAACUAAUGAUCUAGUAUAAUUAGCUUAUGCACAAAAUUAUAUAGUACUACUGUUCUGUAUUGUUUUUUCCUCAUCUCUUUUUCUGUGUGAUUAGAUUCGUUUUCUUUUGUAGUGACCAAAAUAUCAAGUGCUACAGUAGCCAGGAGCAUUUAAACUUUUUUUCUCCAUAGGGUUACUGUGCCUCUGGGAUGCAUAUCAUAUGACAUUUGUUUGUGUGAAAGAACCUUUGAGUGGUCAAUUAUAUAUGCGGUUUUGAAUAUGAAGGUUUAAUUUUUAUAUGCUUUCACUCGAAUCAAAUGAAAUAAUGCUUUGGCUACGUAACUUCUAUAAUUUUCUCAAUUUAAACAAACUGAAUUUUUAAAUGACGUUAAGUGUACUGCAUCGGCCUCUAACAAAAACAUUAUAAGCACAUAGAGCAAAGGUUAUUGGUGGAGUCGAGUUAUGCUCAACCUAUACAUAGAUAAGCUUGUUGUGUGUAUGUUAAGACAACACUAAUUAAGGCUAAUGACUAUUUAGCCCAAUAAGAUUCUCUUAACAUGCAAAACUUGUCAAAACUCUUCAUUAAGAAAACGAAAAAGAAAAGGAAAAGAAACCUUGCGAUCGAGGAAUUGCCACCAUUCUUUAAAACCAAUCUCUUUUGAGUUCAAACAAAAUAAAAUGUCACUAAUGAUCUAACCUUCCAUUUUGGCACAAUGUUCUUGUCAUUUACUAUUUAUGAAAAGUAGAAAAGAGAAAUAAAAAUUAAGAUCACCAAAUCUUAAUUACUAUUACUAAUAGCCUAGGGGAAUCACCUUUCUACAACAAUGGCUUCUUUUCAAUUUCUUAGUACAAGAAUUGCUUUCAUGACAUGCUCAAGCUGUCCACAUUGAUUAGGAUUCAAAUUAACAUCAUCACAAUUAUCUCCACAACAUUUCCUCAAGAGAACAAUUGCACAAUAUGCAAACCGCCCCACCAAUGUUUUGCUUUGACAAACAACAAAAACCCCACAAGGGAUUUGACUAAUUUCAGGAGUCUUAACCAAAGAAAAAACCAAAAACUCUUCUAAUUAGUGGAUGACACACCCCACCAAAGUUUUACUUGCUAAUUAUUCAACAAGAAUGCCUUAAUAAAGGCUAUAAUAAAAGGCACAUUAGUGGGGAAAGGAGGCUCUUAUCAAAACACCUGAAAAUUGCUUGUUUGCCAAGAUGUGAGAAAGUAAAAAAAAAAAAAAAAAAGAAAAGGAAGAUAGUAGUGCGCUAGCCCACCGUAUAGGCUGUAGGACUUGAAGUUUGUUAUUUAAAGUAAAAAGGAAGUCACAAAUUAAAAAGGGAAGCCGACAUAAGUUUUACAAAACUAAACCAUGACUUGGAAUGACGAGAUCAAGUAUUUUGUACUUAUUUUGUGUGUGGUAUCUAUCAUUAAUUGACACGUGAUUAAUUUAUAAUAAUAAAAUUAAGGAGUGUUAAAUUUAUUAACACGUAUCAGCCAAUAAUAAAGAUCACAGAGAGACCACGUACAAAAUAAGUGCAGAAGAUUUGAAUUGUGUAAUUUCAUCCAAUGUUUUCAUGUAUGAUUCAUAACAUCUUUCAGAUUGAAUUGUUCUAUUUUAUUUAGCGAAGUUUUGGUAGUUGGGAUUAAGGUUUUGUCGAGAUUAUAGCAAAUAUUUUGCUUUCUAAUGACCACAAAGACAACAAGCCCAUAAAUUUAAUGAGUACCUAAUCUAGGGUAUAUUACUUGAUUGGCCCAAAUAUAUAUUGGAUACCAAGUUCCUACAUAUGCUUAAGGCUCAAACCAUGACUCUGGCAAAAAUUGAGGUAGUGGAUUCACGUAUGUUUAUAUUCAUCCAAAGCCCAUAACAUGAGAUUGAGAAUUCUUUUGUUCAUUUUGGAAAUAUCAAGAAACCCAACAAUUUUCUUUUGACAAAUAACAACCAGUCUUUAUUUUUUUUUGUAACUUCAAAAAGCCAAUGUUGCUAGGAAAUUUGGAAAAGAGUAAUGCUUGGGACACUAAUUUUUUUAAACCAAAUGAUGUGUCACUAAUAAGAAACAAGCACAUUAAUCGACACUUGGUUAAUAAUUUAAUCAUCUCCAACCACAUCAUUUAGUUUGCAAAUUUGAUUUAAAAAAUUUGGUCUCCCUAACAUUAUUCUUUGGGAAAAUGUAGUUUUUAGGGGCUCAAAACACUUUUGUCCUCCAUUUUAAUUUUUCUAGAAUUGUCAAGUUUUACGCUGGAACAACUUAACUAACCCUAUGACAAUUCUAGAAAAAUGGAAACCAAGAAAAUAGUUUAAUAUUUGAAUCACAUUAUUGCUAACUCAUUGCGAGGCUUAGCCCAUCCCUUCCUCUUUAGUGUAGAUAAUAUCGUUUGUUUACAACAUGCAAAUAUAAAACUUGGGAGAGUCUCGAGUUUUUUCUUCUUCUAAAUUUCUCAAUUUUACUCGGCGCAAGGUGAAUUAGGUUCGUUCCCUUGGAGUAGAGGAACAUAAAAUAUAGAUACCUAUAUCAAGAAGAAAAAUAUUAUUAGCAUUUUAGCAAGGUUGUCUCUGAGAUUUUAGAAGCUUUGUGCGGAAUUUAUAAAAGGGCCCCUUUAAGAUAGUUUUUUUUUAAUUUUAUUUAUUUUUUAUUUAUUUUUGAAAGUAAGAUAAUGUAUUGAUGCUAGAAAGCAAUAACUUAAAUUAAAACAAACUUUAGGACUCACUAAUUGUAAGUUUACAAACGUCAUUAAAUAAUAAGUAAAAAGAGUUACAAAUAUACCUUUACUAAAUAAUCAAAAGUAGUCAAAUCUUAAACAACCAAACAAGAAAUAAAACUUCAAAAACUCUAACUUUGAAGUUUCACUUGAAUAUAUAGCAUUUAUAAUAUAAUAAAAUUGAAAAGAAAAAAAGCGUUUUAUAGGGUGUUAUACUGCACUCCAAAUUUUAUAAUUAAAAAAAAACAAUUUACAUUUAUAAAGAAUGUACAAUGAGAUUUUAAAAUGCUAAUGAAAAUAAAUUUUUUAAUAUAUAGCAUUAUUACAUAUAAAUAUUAAAUGAUAAUUUUUUUUGGAAGCCCUUCAAAUUUAAGAGUCCAUAUUUUCUGCACCCAAAUCCCUAUGACUCCUCCGUGACCCAUUUAAAUAUGCAACAUGUGUUCAGGCACUCACUAAUAUUAACUCUGUUAAUAUUUCAGUUAGCAUUAACCCCUGUUAUCUGCUAAAAUUAUCAAUCUCCCUCUGUAAGUAAUUUGUUCUUAUUUUAUACGUGAAUGGAUUGACAUAGAUGCAGCUUUUGUUUAUGGUUUUAUUUUUUUUCACGGCCUUUGCCCAGAUUUUGGUCUUGAUUAAACUAAUCCAAGCUGGAUUUCAAAAUUCUCAAUCUUCAUGUCCAAACACUGAACCAUGGAGCCUGGAUUUUGAUCUUGAUAAUUAUGGAAGCCGAAGCGAGGGAGAAGGCGAGUUGCGACAGAGGGAAUUGGAAGAGUCCAAGCGUCAUUUGCAUUUUGCAAUUAUUUUCUCAAAAAAUUUAGCAGAUAAAAGAGGAGAUAACAUGGGUUAAUGCUAACUGAAAAAUUAACAUAGUUAAUAUUAGUAAGUGGUGGACACGUGUCGCAUAUUUAGAGGGGCCACAAGAGUGUUUGAGUGCAGAAAAUUUGAACUUCAGAUGAUUAGAAGACCUUUCGUUCCCCGAAAACCGACUAUAUUUUUUAGACCUAUAUUAUCAAGCAAAUGCAAAAACAAUAUGAAAAGAAAACAGUGAUUAUAAUAGGCUUCGUCAAAGACCAUCACGCUAUAAGAAUCCUUCACUUGGCCAAGCACUGGUUGACUUUUGAUCUCUACGUUGUCCUAACAUACAUCGAUCCUUAUAAAAUUCAUGCCAUAGUUUACAUAGUAAACAAUCAAAUAAAAGUCAUGUCACGUCAUCUUUAUUUCUUGACAUUUAACCGAAAGUAUAUCUCCAAAGUAAUUAACUAUAUUUAAACAAGAAAAAAGAAUUACAUGGGUUUAAUGUACCUUGUGACAAGUAGAAGACAUCAAAAGACAACACCAAACAUAGAAUCCAAAUUCCCUGAUAUUAUCAAAGUUUUCAUCUUUCUUUCUUUGUGUUUGUCCCACUAUUAUUGGGGGGAGUUGGUGGUGGGAUUUGGCCCAAAAGAAACGUUUUAGAAACUUUUGCAAAACAAAGAUUGUACGUAAUGAUAUAACAUACUUUCUUUGACAAUCUCGAUUAACUUAUAAACUUGGUAAAUGAAAUUAAGACCAAAUAAGUUCUUGCCAAAACUAACGUGUGCAUCAAAUUCACGUUACUUAUUCACAAGCUAACGUGGACACCAAUUCACAUUACUUUUCUGAAUAUGGAAAGGGACAUGAGAACAAACAGAAGAGAAAAUAACUGGUGAAAGCCACCAAAAAUUAAUGAGAGAAGAAGACGACGACAUGCAACUCCUACUAAACCCUAAUAAAUGGGGGCAGUUGGUUGUUUAGUUUGAAAUGAUUAAAAUCGCAAGUAGUAGAGAUUGCCCCAUUCCUCUAAGAAAAGAUAUAAUAUUUGUUUUUUUUUUGUUAAACGAUAGAUUUUGUUAGAUUAGAUGUUAGAUUAACCACUGACCGGGUUUGAACCCACGUCGUUAUACAAGAACUCAAGACAUUUUCAUUACUGGUGUAAAGGGCCACUUGCGACAUAAUGUUUGUGUGCAGUGGUAACAAUAUAUAUACUACACAUUUUCUAAAGAGUACUUGAUAAGUUUGCAUUAAUUUUAAGUAUUAACAAAUAAAACACGUAAUUCAAUAUUAAUAGAUUAUAAACCUGUAUGAAAGUGGUUUAAAAAUAAUCUAAAGCGUUUUCAGCUCCCAAUAUAAACGUUUUUAAAUGGCAAGAAAGUUCAAAAAAAAUUUGUUUAAAAAAUCACUUAAAUUGUUUUAUUUUAAAAGUAAAAUUUUUAUUAAAUUUUUUAACAUGAUCUAAUUAAAAAGUUUAACACUUUUACGUAAACUGAUCCUAUAAUGGCUAUGGAUCUGCUGUCUCCAACUACGUGUCUUUUUUGUGUUUCCUUUAUAUUUUUAUGACAUGUGUCCUUUAACUUAACCAAAACUUAACACUGUUAAAUUUUAUUAUUUUGUGUUGAAUAAAAAAAUUAGACCAGUUAUAUUAUCUCUUCCCCCAUCUUCUUACCGACGACCAAGGUACCCACCCUUCGCCAUCUUCUCAUCGACGCCCCGGCGUCCCUCCAUCUCCUCCUCUUCCUUCGUCUCCCUUUGCUCCUACAUCCUUCUCAAUUUUAGCCCAAACAAUUGCUCUCUCCAACUAAAAUCAAUGACACCGACUCCAAUUUGAAGGCCUACAUACCUGACUAUAUGAAUCCCUACUGGAUCCAUUACAGAGCGGAACUUACAAUUGUUGACCUUCAUCGCCAGAUUCAAGGUGGUACAGAUUAUGUAAAGCAUGGUGGUAAGAUCCUUGCUACUAGUAUCGUUGCAUCUGGUGGCUAUGCAGAUGAUUUGGAUAAUUCAAAUUCCUUGAUUAUACAGGCCAAGUAGGAAAUGUGAUGAAUACUGAUUUGGAACCUGAAGAUUAAAAGCUUGAACUGGGAAACCUUGCUUUGAAGAAUAAGUCUGGAUGAAAAGAACGGGGAAAAGAUUGGAAGAAAUCAAGAGCCACACGGAAAAACAGUGAAGAAUUCUAGAUUUAUUAACCGAACAGUCGGUCUGAUUAUUUUGGUUUUUUUUUACUUUUAAAUAUUAAAUAAAAAGUUAACAGAGUUAUAUCUAUGUUAAGUUAAAUGACAUGUGUUAAAAUAUUAACAAAGAGACACAAAAUGAGGCACACAAAAUGAGACAGCAGUGAAGCCUCCUAUAAUACCACCUAAUAGAGUUACAGUGACCUUAAAAUUUUAUCAAAUGUCUGUCAUUGAAUUAACUUAAAGUACAAACCAAUGACCAGUCCAAGCUAUACACCUCUUUGUUUUCAAAGUUUUCACGCACUCACACACUCACAUGUAUAUCCUAUCUUAUACCAAAUUCAUGCGGAUUUUUAUUACAAAUGAUCUUGAAAAUUGAUAAACCAAUUCAAGAUGAUCAUUGAAAUUAAAAAUUGAUCAAUAUAAUCAUUAAAUAUGAAUGCCAUAAAUCAACAUCAUCCAUAUUUAAAGACUACACUAAAUUCAAGCACCCAUGUUUAAAAAUUACAUUACUUAAUUUUCGAUUCAAUUAACAACCAUCUUAAUUAGGUGUGUCGAGACAUCUUGCAAUAAAAAACCAACUCAUAUUGUUUCUUAUUCACUCUCAUGCACUUGCAUUAUCUUGAGGGACAAGGAUUGUCUGCCCUUCAUUUCCGGUGCUCUCUCCGUGCCCACCUGUUUGUGUGAUCACGGUUAAGCCACGUCAACAUUUUAUAUUACUAUUUAUUUUUGUCUUAUUAUAUCUAUAAAAAAAAAUAAUAUAAAAUAUUAACAUACGUGACCACACAAAACAGGAGCGUACGGAGAGCGCACCGGAAGUGGAGGGCAAACAAUCCUUGCCCUAUAUUGAGUCCCUACAUGGCCUGCACGUGUCCCUAGCGACAUCAAUGAAAUAAGGUGAGUGAGCCUAGGGCAGUUGAAGUAAUUAAGGUACUAGUCGACAAUGCAGGUGGAGAGUUACUUAUGGACCCAUCAACUUUCAGUACAUGGUACAUUUUCCUCUAUAAAUGUGGAAUCUAUUUGCUCUUGCUAACACAUUCAGUAGCUCUGAGUUUCUUUCUUCAUCCAUUAGCAUUCUGUUCCAAUAUUUUCAGUCUCAAUGGGGUUCUGUCUUCCUCACAUCCUUGCUUUUCUAACUGUAAGCUUUCUAAUUUUGAAAUAUUACUUUUUGAUUUCAGUUGAUUUGUGUUUGCGUCCGUGAUGGUGCUGAUGAGGGUUCAAAUAUUGUUAAUUUGCAGCUCACACUGGUGGCAUGCCAUGCUGCUCUACCACCUCAACUUUACUGGAACUCUGUCUUGCCAAACUCAAAAAUGCCAAAAGCUAUCAGUGAACUUCUCCAGCCUGCAGGUUAGUAUUAGAGUCUCAGAGAAGCUCAGAUAUUGUGUAUUCCUUAGACAAUAAUUCUAUUUAGACAUACACAAUUAAGAUCACUACUGACACACUCUCUAAUACAGGCGAGUCUAACCAUCGUAUAUAUGUAAAAUGUACAUGUAUUAGAGAGUACAUGUCAAGAAAUGCGUUAUAUAUUCUCUAAAAGUGAUAUAAUCCAUUUGUAAUAGCAACAAUUUAGUAUUAUAAAAGUUGAAGGGAUGGAAUAGCUUAAAUGUUCUCAUUGAUCAAAAUUGGAUUGUGGUCUUGGUAUGUAUAUACACUUAUUUUCUUACAUGUAUGUCACUAAAAGCCACAAUAUAAUAAGUCAAUUUCAAAACAAUCGGUCAACUUUUUAUAAACUUUGCUCCUAGUAUAGUUGACUGAAAUUUCUAAAGCCAUGUCGUUCGUUGAUGCGUUCCUGAUACCUUCAAUAAAUUGACUUCACAAUUGUGCAAAUGUGCCGAUAAACUUUAUGACACUUUUAGCUAUACAAUCUUAUGUUGUUAGAAAAUAUAAUUUGACUUCACAAUUAUGAAUGUGCUGAUAAAUUUGACUUCACUUUUAGUUUUAGAUAUAUGACCUCAACGGCGAAUUCCCAUAUUUUCUAUAUAUGAUCCGAAUAUUCUCACAAAUUUUAGCUUAACAAUUUUGAUGUUCUACCUCUUCUCACCUGUUCUCCAUUAUGUUUGCUAAAAUUUGCAGAUUUCACAGAGGAUAAGAGCACCUCUGUUGUAGUAGGAAAGGGUGGUGUCAACGUUGAUGCAGGAAAAGGAAAGCCCGGAGGCACCCAUGUCGAUGUUGGGAAGGGUACUGGAGUGCAUGUGGAAGCCGGAAAAGGAAAGCCAGGCGGUGGCACUAACGUGAACGUAGGAGGCAAAGGCGGUACUGGGGUGAACACCGGGAAGGGAACCAACGUUGGUGUUGGCAAAGGAGGAGUGUCCGUAAACACAGGGCACAAGGGAAAGCCCGUGUAUGUUGGAGUAAAACCAGGACCAGACCCUUUUAACUACCAGUAUGCAGCCACCGAAACCCAACUCCAUCAAGACCCAAACGUUGCUAUUUUCUUCUUGGAGAAAGACAUGCGUCCUGGAACAACAAUGAACUUGCACUUCACCACAAAUUCAAACACGCAAACUUUUGUGCCGCGCGAAACUGCGGAAUCCAUCCCAUUUUCGUCCAACAAGCUGCCAGAAAUCUUCAACCAAUUUUCAGUGAAAUCGGGUUCCGUGGAAGCGGAUAUAAUCAAGGGUACAAUUCAAGAGUGUGAGAAUCCAGCCAUUAGAGGAGAGGAGAAAUAUUGUGCUACCUCUUUGGAGUCCAUGAUUGACUUUAGCACUUCUAAGCUUGGAGGAGGAAAUGUUCGAGCAAUUUCGACAGAAGCCGGAAAAGGAGCUACAUUGCAGAAGUACACAAUAACUUCUGGAGUGAAGAAGUUGGCGGCGGAUAAGUCGGUCGUGUGUCACAAGCAGAACUAUCCCUAUGCUGUCUUUUACUGCCAUGCAACAAAAACAACAAGAGCUUAUGUGGUGCCCCUGAAAGGUGCUGAUGGGGUGAAUGUUAAAGCAGUAGCAGUCUGCCAUACAGACACAUCGGAGUGGAACCCUAAUCAUUUGGCCUUCCAAGUUCUCAAAGUUAAGCCGGGAACUGUUCCGGUCUGCCAUUUCCUUCCCAGUGAUCAUGUUGUCUGGGUUCCAAACCAGAAAUCUACCUGAUUUGACUGAUCAACCCUUGAGUUCUACGUAUGAUGAUGUGAUCAGCUCAAUCAGCAUAGUUUGAGUGGCAAGAGUUUGAAAUUAAAUCGACCGUCGAUUACUUCUUAUUGUCACUAUGUAUUUCAGCCUAUAUAUAUACUCAUAAAUGAAAGCAUACUAUCGUGUGGACUUGUACCAAAAAGCAUGCUAGUGGACAUGCUCUACUACAUUCAGUAAUAGUUAUAUAUGCUUUGAUUCUGUGGUGCCAUCUGUCCACUGGUUCAGUUUUAAAUUGUCGUGCUAUUAUAUGCAUGAUACACGGGUUUCAUCUCCUUUGUCUUAGGAGAGGGAGGGAGUUGAGUACGUUGCAUGUCGAUAAUUAACAAAUUUUGUAUAUACUUAUAAGGAAGUGGAACCUUAAUUUCUUUUACGAUCUAAUCAAAGCAGUUACCCAGGGACUGCCAAGAAGCUAAAAUCCCAAACCAAGGAGGGCACCAGAUAACAAAGGGAAGUUUCAUUUGUACAAAUAAAAAUCCACAAAAAAAUCUCGCCACAAAAGUACAAAUUCAAAAAAAAAAUCAGGCCACUAUUGCAUGCUUCAAAAUUAAAGAAAAUUUCAGGCCACUGCAUGCUCUUGCUUUCCGGGUUUUCCCCACAAAGUUUUCUGUUGACAGGUAGGCCGACAAAAAUAUGAGCGCUUCACACCAGGCAAUGGCAAGGGCUGCAUGUUUUACACCUAAUCCCAACAAAUUUGGUAGUUCACCUUCUUACUUCCCCAUAAAUAUUGAACCCAUAUGCUACUGUUUACCAUAUCUCUCUGAGUUUUCAUGUUUCAUCCAGUAAUUUUCGUUUGUGUUGCAAAAGUUGAGUCUUAAUGGGGUUCCUUCUCUCCAGAAUCUUUGCUUUUCUAACUGUAAGUAAGAGCUGUAAUUUUGAAUCCUCCCUGUUACUAUAGUUAAUUUGAUUGAUCUUAUGUUUUUGCUAAUUUUAUUUUCUUUCUCUCUUACUAAUUGUGCGAGUUUAAUUUCAGCUCACACUGGUGGGUGUCCAUGCUGCUUUACCUUUGUCACCUCAGCUUUACUGGAAUUCCGUCCAGCCAAACUCACCAAUGCCGAAGAUAUCAGUCAACUAGUCCAGACUGGUUAGUAUCUAUGUACAACCUCAGAUUGGCUUCAAAAACUCAUUUCCACAACCAAUCGUCCUUGUGAUUUACACAUGUUUUCACUUUUGCACAAGAAGAAAAAGAGGCAACAACCGCGGAACAAGUUUGGCUGUUGUUACUAGCCUAGCGAUUGCUAAAUACGUGACAAAAAGUUAAAAAAGCGCACCAAAAAGUAAAAAAUUAUGACAUACUGUUUGUCACGCUUCUAGGAAUAGCUACACUAGAAAUAGCACCCUGGCUCCAUAGCUAUUUAUGUUGGUAAAUCCGCAGACUUCAUUACUGUUGGCAAAGGGGGAGUUAUUGUUCAUAACCAAGUUGCAGAUGUUGCAACUAACGUUCAAUAUCUUUACCGGGAUGAUUCAACUGAAGGCAAGAUGCAGAUCAAAAAGUAAAGACAUAAAGAUGCUGCUGAAAAUCCAACACUUGAAGACCCAACUCGAGUAAUUUUCUUCUUGGAGAAGGACAUUCAUCCUGGCACAACAGUGAAUUAUCACUUAUCCGGAAAUUCAACCAGAGAAACUUUCCUGUCCCGCAAGACUGCAGAGUCCAUCCCCUUCGGCUCAAGCAAAUUGGCAGAAAUUCUUAACCGAUUUUCAGUGAAACCGGGGUCUUUGGAAGCCGACAUAAUGAAAGAAACCAUCCAAUAUUGUGAAGGGGUGGCCAUGAGAGCCGAAGAAAAAUAUUGUGGUACCUCUCUAGAGUCGAUGAUUGACUUCACCACCUCCAAGCUUUGAAGAAAUAAUAUUAAAGCAAUCACGACGGAGGUGGAAAAAGGAGCUGCCCCGCUGCAGAAUUACACAAUAACCCCUGGAGUGAAAAAGCUGGCAGGCAACAAACUUAUUGUGUGCCAUAAGAUGAUCUAUCCAUAUGCCGUUUUCUACUGCCAUGCAAUUGAAAAAACAAGGACUUUUAUUGUGCCUCUCAAAGGCGCUGACGGGACGAAUGCUAAAGCAGUAGCAGCCUGCCAUGAAGACACAUCUGAAUGGAGCCCAAAACAUUUUGCCUUCAAAGAGCUCAAUUUUGAGCCAGGAACAACUGAAUCCCAUUUGCCAUUUUCUUAAAAACGAGAAUGUUGGUUGGGUUUCAAAACAAAAACCUACAUGAGUUGAAUCCGCCGCUCGGGUCCUCUACUUGAUUAUGUAGCCCAUCAAUAGGAGUAAUUAGCCCGCUCCAUUAAUAAAAACAAUCGCAUGAGACAGAUGAGCUGUUUAUGUCUGAGACUGCGUACUCACUUCAUAACAUAUUCUUAUUACUCAUUAGCAACGCAAAAUUCCCUCUUGUAAUAGAGACGAAAAAAGUACCACCCCCCCCCCCCUUCCCAAAAUAAAAGCAAAGAAAAAAAAUAGAUGAGUAUAUUUUAUUGUAUCUCUUAAUCUUAUCCUACCUCCCAUAUCAAUAAUUUGAAUGAAAAAAAUAAGAGUAAUGCUAAAGAAACUAAAUUUGAAGAUUAAAAUUGCAAACUAAAUGAUGUAUUACUAAUAGAAAUAAGCACGUCUUUUAAGACUUAAGUAAUAAACCAAUCAUCAAUUUCCAUGUUCUUUAGUUUUCAAAAUUUAGUCUCCAAAUUGAGACUCCCUAGCAUUACUCAAAAAAAAAAAAAAAAUAUCAAUGAAUAUGGAAAAAAAUAUAUAUAAAACGGUUGAUCUCUAUUAAACCUGCUAAUGACCCGAAGCAUAAAGUACUUGCUACCGGUGAAAUAAACACUCGCAUUACUCAAAAAUUAAUAAUAUCAAUGAAUAUGGAAAAAAAAUAUAUAAAACGAUUGAUCUCUAUUAAACAUGCUAAUGACCCGAAGCAUAAAGUACUUGCUACCGGUGCAAUAAACACUCGCAUUUGAAGAACUCCUCUAUUGUAUUUGUAAUACAUAAUGGUAAUAUGUAUAUGAUCAGAUUUGUUUAUGCAUAGUUACCCUACUUCCUCUUGUGGAACUCCAGGUUGAGGAGUUAGGAGAUCUACAAGUUUGCUAAAGUGAACCACUCUAUCACACUGAGGAUUUGUUUGAUAAUGAUUUUGUUUGCAAUCUGGGAGAAGUAGUUACAAAUCUGCUAAAGUGAACCACAACAGUCAAUCACAUGACUAAGGGUUUGUGUGAUAAUCGUUUCGCUUUUUUGUAGUUUUCGCCUUUAGUGCUUGCUAUAUGGGAAAAAAAAAAAAAUAUAUAUAUAUAUAUAUAUAUGGAAAGAAAGAAGGAUGAAGGAAAAAUGGUAUAGUGAAUGUAGAUGAAAUAUACAAGGAAUGAUACACACUAAAAACAAAAAAUUUUAAGUUAUUUUCAUCUUCAAAAUUAUGUUUUCAUUCGUUGUUCUCUAUUUUUGAAUCACAAGUUUGAGUGACCAAAAUAGCCUAAGGGUAUAAAUGACAUUCGCAAAAUAUAGGAUGACUCAUCAUCACUCGGUAAGAAGUUGGUUAGUUGGAUCAAAGGUUAAUGUACCUUAGUUGAUAAGCAAAAUCACGAAGACUAAACUUAAUAAUUGAAACAUAAAUGGUCUUAUUUCUAAUUAUGUGCAAAAUGACUUUUUUAGAGGCGUUGUUUUUCUUUUUUGGACAAAGGUAAUUUUCAUUACCAAAAGAGCACAAUUACAGACAAAGAGGCCCAAAUACAUUGUAAACACAAAACAAAAAGUGAACCCCCAACACUAAACAAAAGCUCAACCCGAGAGAAGGGCCCAAAACAGAAAACCUUACAAGACUAACUUCCUCCGUCGUCGUCAAAGAACCGGCAGCCGACCACAAUCCAACAACCUAGGCCAAAGAUCUCACCAAACACAGCGCCAAAGAAGAAGGCUCCAUCUUCCUCCACCAAACACCACACAAAUUGAAACCGCAACCACCAAAGAAAGAAGCCAGAAGGAAAGAACUUUCCCCUAGCAAAAAAAGCCGAAAACGGCAUACAAUUGGAAGGUGGUGGUGUGUACACCAUAUGAGCAGAAGCUCUGCACACCUUCCUAGAAAACCUCGAAACACAGGUGGAAGAGAUGGUUGCAGAAUUGAACAUGUGUGAGAAUGAUGUAGGACAGAAGCAAAUGGAAAAGUAAAAAAAUGGCUGGAUUAGAGUCAUGGAGGUGGAAAAACUUGAGAGAGAAGAAGAAAAAGGAAGGUUGGAAGUGGGACUGUCAGAUCAAGACUGAUGAAAGGUUAGAGCGGAGGUUGCAUGGGGAUUACCAAAAAAGACGGCCAGAAAAACAUGGAGAAAGCCAAUCUCAUAGCUCGAUGUAUCCAGGACUCAAUCUACUAGUCACUCCAUUAAUGUUGAAUUAAAUACUCCAAUUUAUUUCCACACAAAGAAACAAAUCAGAAACGUAAGAAAAAAUUAAGACCACCGCAUGCUCUGCAUUUUCGGUUUCAUCUGGUAUGGAUUAUUGGAUUUUACUGAUAGAUCCAUGUUUUAAUUUGUGAAAUGUUAAGGAGAUUCUCUCAAAGUGACAUUUUUCAUGGACUUUCUGCCUCCUCAUGGUUUUGACACUAUUUUAUAAUGUUGGCACGAAAAUUUUGCUAAAAACACUAAAUGACGUAGAAUCCACGAAUAGUCUUACUUUUGAGAGAAUUUCCUUACUAUUUCUAAUUGAAUUUGAUUCAAAGUUGGGAAUAAAUGUGGAACAUCACACUAGGCAGUGGAAAGGGGCACAUGUUACACCUUAUUGAUGCACAAAACCGGAGGUCUUGGAACAACGUAAAUCCGAUCGUGAAUCUGCAUGAAAUGUAAAUAACACAAGAUGUAUCGUGGUUCAUCCCAAGGUUUGGGCUACGUCCACACUGAUUAUGUAUUUAUCUGAGAGGUGAGGGAAAGAACCUCUGAAUAUGAUAAGGGACGUGAGAGGGGUGAGAAGGCUUAAGAAAUGGCAUCCCCCAAUUGUGAGGGUGAUGGGUCCUUUUAUAGAAUAAUGACUCCUCACUUAUUACAUAUUUGCCAUUUCCUUUAUCACAUAAUUGCAUUUAAGUCCCCCGAGUAUUUGUACAAGAUCUAAAUACGAGGCCCUAAAUAUGGUAUAAACAGUAGUCCCCCAAGUCUUCGGUCAAUAGAGUCUUUUGGCUGGAGACUUGAAAUUCAGUUCAUGUGUGGGCCGAAGUAACUAGAUGUUGUCUUGAACUGAUGCUCGAUAUGAGGCGGUGCUCCAUCUGAAAUGAUGCUCUACUAGAAGUAGCACAUGCUGCAAGGUUGCUCGGCUCGUGGCUUAUGUUGCCUUGGUUGGCUCGGCUUGUGGCGUUGGGAGGUGAGGGAGUCCAUUUUAUAAAAUAAGGGUUCGCUCCUCAAUACAUAAAUGAUGGGCUAGAGUUGAUACUCGCGGCGAGGUGGUUGCUCAAUAGGCGGCGAUACUCUCUAAUGGUGGUAAGGGAGUCCCUUUUAUAGAAUAAGGGCUCGCUCCUCAAUACAUAAGUGAUGGGUUAGGAGUGAUGCUGGCGGCGUUGCUCUCUAAUGAAGGUGAGGGAGUCCCUUUUAUAAAAUAAGAGCUCGCUUCUCAGUACAUGAAUAAUGGGUGAUCUCUAAUGAAAGUGAGGGAGUCCCUUUUAUAGAAUAAGAGUUCGCUCCUUAAUACAUAAAUAAUGGGCUAAGUCCCCCAAGUAUUUUUCAUGAGGCCCAGUUGAGGCCCAAUAUAUGGUACAUAGUGUAGUUCCCCAAGUCUUCGUUCAAUAGAGUCUGUUGGCUGGAGACUUCAAACUAAAUCCAUAUAUGGGCCAAAAUGGCGGUUGUUCGGAUAUGGUAUUUGUAUACCUUGCACUGAAGCUUUGUAGGUGAAACUUUGCAAACUAGAGCUCUGUAAAUGAAGUUUUUAAAGCUAAUUGACAUAAGUGAUGUUCAUGAAUGUUUAUGUUGAUUGACAUGAGUGAUGCUCAUGGAUGUUGUCAUGAGUGAUGCUCAUGAAUGUUAACAUGAGUGAUGCUCAUAAAUGUUGACAUGAAUGAUGGUCAUGAAUGUUUAUGUAUGAUUGUUAUGAGUGAUGCUCAUGAAUGUUUAUGUAUGAAUGACAUGAGUAAUGCUCAUGUAUAAUUUGGAAUACUAGGCGUACUUUUGAUCACCUGGUUGGUGGCAUGAAGGAGAGUACGAGUUGUAUAUUUCAUCACCUGGUUGGUGGCAUGAAGGAGAGUACAUAUUGUAUAUUUCAUCACCUGGUUGGUGGCAUGAAUGGCUAGUUGCCAAAAUGAUAUUAGAGUACGGGUUCUACAUUUUAUCACCUGGUUGGUGGUAAUAGCGGCAGGUUGCCGAAUAAUUGUGGAGUACUGGGCGUACUUUUGGUCACCUGGUUGGUGGUAAUAGCGGCAGGUUGCCAAAUAAUUGUGGAGUAUUGGGCGUACUUUUGGUCACCUGGUUGGUGGUAAUAGCGGCAAGUUGCCGAAUAAUUGUGGAGUACUAGGCGUACUUUUGAUCACCUGGUUUGUGGUAAUAGUAGCAGGUUGCCGAAUAAUUUUGGAGUACUGGGCGUACUUUUGAUCACCUGGUUGAAGCUAUUUUGGGCUUAUGGGCAUUCGCCCUCCACAACAUGCCAGCCCAUUUAUUUUGGGCUUUUCCGGUUUUUUUUUUUUUUUACCCUCUGAUGGGGUUUAUACAAAUGUCUCUAAAAGAUAAGAAAAAUAAAUUACAUCAUACAUCUGUCAAAAAAGUAAAUCACAUCAUUAUGGGGGGUGUUUAUUCCUUACUUUUGCUUUCUCUGAAAUAUUCUCCCAACGACAUGAUCUUUUUUCUUUUUCUUUUUUGUUCCUUUACCCUGAUCUCUCCACCUCCAGGCACACUCACUUGCUUUUGCUUUCGUUUUUUGAUUUGAUUUUCCUUUUCUGAUCAAGUACCUGACAGCUUGGAAUAUAUUGUAAUCAAGUGACCAGAGAGUAGGACUAGUGGAUACCUCUCUUCUGUUUUUCUUUUCCUUUUGGCAUAAGGUAGACAAAAGUAAUAGUAGUAGACUUAUUAUUGAGAAAGCUUAUCUUCUUCAUGAGUGUCUCCACUGGUGGAUGAGAGGUAGCCUAUGUAAAAGUCUUCUUCUUGGCAAGAUCGCUAGAAGCGCCAGAAGCUUUUGUGGAAGAAUUAGAUGUAGCAGGCUGCGAAAGAAAUAAAUGCAGCAGGCUGCUGUGAGCUCUUAAGCUGCGGGUUGGCGAUAGCAUGGCUGCUACCACCACUUGAAUACGAAAGAGUAAGAUCCAUCUGAACGAAAUUCGCUCAUACCCAAGGCUUCAACAACUCCACUCUUAUCAUCCAUUGAAUUUCGAAGAAGACAAAGCAAAGACUCCCACAUAUUUCUAUUAAGAGAAUCCCCAACAAAAACUAGUCGCUUUCCUCUCAAUAGUCCCAACAUGUUCUUACCAUCUAACCUUGGAAGAUUGCAAUGUUUGAGUUGCCAUCUAUACUUUUCGUAGCAAUUAUCCGGCCUCUUAUUAAGAAAACAAUUGAAGGAUUCAUCAAUAAAAGGAUAAGAACCCGGAGCAUAAAGCGGAUACGAAUCAUCUCUCACCCACAUUCCAUCAAACAUGUCACAAUCAUCCCUCGAAAAUUCAUAACCGGGCUAAGUUUGAUUACUCUGCUUCUUAGAUUCAGACAAUGCCUCACUAGCAUCAUCACUCUCUAUCGAGGUCAAUGCCACUGCUUGCCCCAAAACCCCAUCAGAAUCUUUAGCAAAAGAUUCAUUUUUUCUUGAACCCUCCAGUUUCUCGGAAAAUCCCAUUUUCCCAGUUACUUGAAUCGUAGUGUUCUGGGACGAAGUCUGAUUGGAUUCUUAGGGUAAGAAAAGAAUUGCGUUUGGCAGUUGGGCACUAGCCAUAUCAGACUGCAAACCUCCACUCUCAUCUAAACGUAGGAAAUAUUCAGCUUUCCAGGAAAAUGGGUUUCCCGGGAAAGUUCAAAAGGGGUUUUGAAGAUGUUCUUGAAGCCAAAAGGGAAAGAGUAGCCAAAUGGGUUGAAAACCAGGAAGAAAGUUCAAGCGAUGCAGACGAACGAGAAGCCAUAGGCAAAGGCAGCGGUUUUUCUGGAGGGGAAGAAAAUUGGGGAAGAAAGAGAGGGUUUGGAGAAGGCCUCUGGUCUUGGGAUUGUGGGGGAAUGCUGGUGCUUUGUGGGUUUUGGGGUUGUCUGGGUUUUUGUGAUUUUGCAGAUUCACAGUGGUGAGAUUUGAUGAAAAAAUGAAAGAGAACUGACAUAGUUUUUAUGUCGUUUCCCACAGACGGCACCAAAUGUUGAUGCACAAAACCAGAGGUCUUGGAACAACAUAAAUCCGAUCGUGAAUCUGCAUGAAAUGUAAAUAACACGAGAUGUAUCGUGGUUCACCCCAAGAUUUGGGCUACAUCCACACUGAUUAUGUAUUUAUCUGAGAGGUGAGGGAGAGAACCUCUGAAUAUGAGAGGGGAUGUGAGAGGGGUGAGAAGGCUUAAGAAAUGGCCUCCCCUAAUUGUAAGGGUGAUGGGUCCUUUUAUAGAAUAAGGACUCCUCACUCAUUACAUAUUUGCCCAUUCCUUUAUCACAUAAUUACAUUUAAGUCCCCUGAGUAUUUGUACGAGAUCUAAAUACGAGGCCCUAAAUAUGGUAUAAACACACUUAAUCCCAACAAAUUUGGCACUUUAGUUGACUUCUUCUAUAAAACUUGAACCAUUCUCCUAUUGUUCACCACAAAACCUGAGUUUUCUUGUUUCAUCAUUUUCAAUAGGGUUCCUUCCCUUGAGAAUCUUUGCAUUUUUUACUGUGAGUAAACUGUGUAAAAUUUGAAUUUUCCCAAUAUAUUUGGCUUCGGUCAGGUGAUGUAGUGGCUUUGGUCGAUUAUGAUAACACUACUAAAAACAUUAUAUAUGAUAUAUGUUUUAUGAAAGGUUUUAUGGCAUGAUAGGUUUUCGGAAAACCUAUUACAUUUUUAGUCAAAAUGGUCCCUGAGAUUUGCAUGACACAUCACUUUGAUCCUGGAGAUUGAAAAUCAAUAGAAAUGGUCCCUGAGAUUGUCUACCAUCCAUUAUUUUGGUCAUUCCGUUAAAAACUUCAUUAAGUGUUCUGGAGCUCUUGGCCGAAAGUUUGGACAAUUUUCAAAGUUUCGUAACUUAAUCGUUUAUUAACCAAAUUCAAACCAUGAUACAUCAAAAUGAAGAUAGGAACGUUGAGAAAAAUAUUAUACCUAUUUAGAAGCCCAAUGGUUGUCGUAGAUGGCCGAAAAAUAGCCUGAAAGGUGACUGGUCCACCGGAAAACUGAAAAACUCGUUGGAAACUGGGUAAACUUUAAACGUUCAUAACUUCUUCAAAACUCAACAAAAUCGAGUGAUUCAAAAACAAAAAUCAUACUUCUCGACAAGAAAAAUAGAAUGAUACCUUUCUUGAUGGCUAAAUCAUCGUGCUUUGGCUGAAAAACGGCCCGAAAAUUAUUGUCUUGGUCUCGAGUUAGCCACUUUUAGGCCGUUUACGGACCAAACCACGACGAAUUAGUUAUCGAGAAAGGUACCAUUCUCUUUGUCUCAUCAAUAAUUAUGAUUUUUGUUUUUGAAUCACUCGAUUUCGUUAAAUAUUGAAGAAGUUAUGAACGUUUAAAAUUUACCUAGUUUCCAAUGAGUUUUCCAGUUUUCCUAGGGACCAUUCACAUUUCAAGCUAUUUUCCGGCCAUCUCGGUAACCAUUGGGCUUCCAAAUAGGUAUAAUCUUGUUCUACACUUUCCUAUCUUCAUUUUGAUACAUUAUGGGUCGAAUUUGGUUAAGAAACGAUUUAGUUACGAAGUUUUGAAAAUUGCCCAAACUUCUGGCCAAGAGUUCUGAGACACUUAACGGAGUUUUUAACGGAAUGACCAAAAUAAUGGAUGGUGGACAAUCUCAGGGACCAUUUCUAUUGAUUUUCAAUAUCAGAGACCAUUUUAACUAAAAAACCUACAUAUUAUUACUAUUGAGUUUUCAUAAACUUUGGGGGUUAGUACGUUGAUGAAUAACUGUUUCUGUAUUACUUAUAUAUCAACUUGGUCCACUCAUGUUUUGUUUUGUGCCCCCUCAAGAUUUAGAAUCGAGGCAUACAAUCCUGACGUUAGGGUACUCCCGCAUCGGCAUCUUUAAGUCCUCUCGGUGUAGGACCCAUCCCUUUGUUCAUUCAAUUUUAUAUUAUUCCUUUGUAGUGUCUUGGGUUAGUUAUAUGCUCUGAAUACGUUCCACAAUUGCAUAUUCAUUAUAAUUAAAUUUACAACUUUUAUUUAUGUCAGUUAUUUGUUUUUAGUUCUCAUGCAUCCUUUUAUGGUUUCGUCACCUUCGAGUGUCGGCCAGUACGUGUCUACCCCGAUGUUUGGAGGAUAUCAGGGUCGGGCGUGUCACAUAGGUACAUAAGUAUCGGUUCAUAAGUUUUGGUAACAAUAUAUCGAUACAUAACUUUUAAAACGAAUGUAUCUGUACAAAUGUAUCGGUACGUAACUAUAGUAUUUAAACAUACAUAUGUACGUAAUAUGCAUAUACAUAUAUAUGGAGAAAUUCACGCACAAUAAAAAAAUAUAUGAUAAUAUAUGACUUCUUUUAUUAUGGAAACUUAACAAUAACCAUCAAUGAUAAAUAACAUUUUUAUUAUUUAUGGGAAUCAAUAUAUAACCUACAAACAAAAAAGUCAAUAAUUACUACAACCUAUUUAAUAUUAAAAAAUUAUAAUUAAAUGCCAAGGAUUAGAAUGAUUUUUUAACAAAAUUUAAUGAAAAUGAUUUGAAAAUUUUGAGUUUUACCGAUAAGGACAAAAUAAAGGGUAAAGUGAAUAAUACCAUGAUUGAUUUUUUGGUGUAAAAAUAUGAUUUUUCGUUAAAGUGAAUAGUAUCAUGAGUUUUUUUUGUUAAAGUUACCUAGUUUUUAAUCUUAGACAAGAUUUUAUUCAAAAAGUAAUCUUAGACAAGAUUUUAUUCAAAAAGUAAUCUUAGACAAUGAUUAGAAUAUAAUUUUAAUUUUUUUUUAACAAUCUACUGUGAGAGACAGAGAGAGUAGGCUAAGACUAUAAGAGCUAGUAAUAAUGUAGUUCAAAUUUACUUUUAUAAAAAAUCAAACCUAAAAUUUAUCAUUUAUAAGUGAAAAAAAUAUCACUAAUUGUAGUAUUUAUCUUUUAAACAUUAUACACAUAGGUAACUAUGUACUUUUCCCGUGUGAUACACCAUUGGAAGUGCUUUUCGGAACAGCGUGCAUGUCGCUUUUGAGAUAAGAUCUUGUCCAAAUGUCCAUGGCUUCGUGACAGCUGUGAGAAAGUGACGAUCAACCUACAUGCAAGUUGCUUGAGGGAGCACAAGUGCUCUGCCAACUUUGAGUAACUGACGAUCACAUACGGAAAAUGAUUCCGGAUCAUUUUCUUAGGAAUUCUGUAAUCGUAUAUUAUGUGAUCAGAAAUUAUUUAAAAUUUAAAAUUUAAAAUUCAAAUAUAAAUAGUACAUAACGAAAACUAACUUCAUGAUAUAUGAUGAACAAACAUAAUUACUAUGUAUGAUGAACGAACAUAAUUACUAAAUCCCUUGGAAAAUGAUCAGCCGAGGAUCAUUUUUCCGUCACAUACAUGCAUGUUGGCAGAGCACUUUGAAUUGGGGCCCUAAAUAAGUCUUCGAAUUGGCUCUAAAGUAGUAAAAUGUACUGACACGUGGCGCUUUAUACAUUAAUAUGUAGAAAAAAUUCUGCUAAAUACAUGAAAAAUAUAUGGGUAAAUUACAAAAAAACUACCAUAAUUAUUGAUUUUACGACAUUUUUAUACCUCAUGUCAGAGCUCUGUCAGUUUUUCUGUUACUUUUCUUGUUAAAUGCUGACGUGAACCUCGGCGUCAAUCACAAGAGACUGAAACCGUUUGUAGGGUUUGUAUGGACGACAACGACAAGGAGGCUUGAGCUCACGGCGUCAAUCAUAAGUGUCUUGAGAUUUCAAAAUUGGGGAAAACAGAGAAAAUGAGAUGGAUUAGGAUCUGCAGGUACAUUAGUCGAUCAUCCCCUCUCCAAAGCAUUUCCGGCGACCUGCCAACGGGGACCAGCGGAGUGGCAGCGAUUGAAUAGAAGGACGACGAUGGCGGUGAAGACGGAGACGAACAGCGCGAGGCAAUUGAAGAAACGACAGAGAGUUGGCUCUGCAAUGACGCCAUUGGAGAGAGGGAAACCCUAGGAAGAGAGCUAAGAGAGGAGAAAUGUACUGGUUUUGAAUAGCCUGAUACUACAGUGAGAGGAGAGGAGACACGUGGGUGAUUGAAAGGUGCGAGGGAAGCUCGCGUGUGUUUGAGAUUAGAAUUAGGACAGCUAGUUGUGCGGGAAGUUGAGGAUCGCUUUGGCGCCCCGAAGCUUGAAUGCUGCUCGAUCGUAAGCCUUGGCUGCUUCAAUCGCCGUGUCGAACUGGAUCCACUCAGUUUUGUUGGGAAGCGAGAUUAUGAGUGCUGGCUUUCGGAAUGGGUUAGCGGGUUUAGGUUGCAGGGAAGGGGAAAGAGAAGGAAUAUGGGUUUUGGAUUUGGGUUGCGGGAAAGGGGUCGGGGAAGAUAAGGUGUUUGGUUUUUUGUUUUUUGUUUUGUUUUUUUGUUUUUUUAAGGGUAAAUUAUUAUUUUUAUUAAUUUUUUAAUAAAUUGUGGAAUCCGAAUCAAGCCAUAUCAUCAUUUAACCGAGAAAUUCACAACCAACCCAAUGAAUGUAUAAUGGACCAAAUUUUAGAGAUGUGGUAUGACAUUGUCAAUUUUAAUGGAUAAAGUAUGAUAGUGUAGUGAGACGAGGUAAUUUUUUGUCAUUUACCCCAAAUAUAUUUAUGCAUCAAAUACAAUUAAAAAUUAAUAUAAAAAAAAUCAAAUACAAUUAAAAAUUAAUAUAAAAAAAAUAGAGAUAUACAAGCAACAACUACGCCUGUUCCACUACAUCAGCAUGCUUUCUAUGUCAUGUAUUUGACUUUUAUCCUAUUUAUAAGAGAAAUAAAUAUAUUAAAAAAAAUUUGGAGCCCCAAAAAAUAGGACGUCCUAGGCGGUCGCCUUACUCGGAAGAUUAUGCCGCGUAUCAAAAUAAAACUAAGACAACGUUGUCCACAAAAUAGAAACAUUGGGUUGGGUUUCAGGUCGUCUUCUUAGAAUCGCACGAGGCCCCUCUGAGUAGUGAGUACUAGUAAGCAGUAACAUACUAACAUGGAGCAAUUCAAAGGGCAGCCUCGGCUUCCGAAAUUCGCCUUGCCGAAACGGUACGACUUAAGGCUGAAGCCAGACCUCAAAGCUUGCAAAUUCAGCGGCUCCGUCGCCAUUCUCGUCGACAUCGUCUCCGAGACCCGGUUCAUCGUCCUCAACGCUGCCGAGCUCUCCGUCAAUGCCGUUUCCGUCUCUUUCACUCACACAGAUUCCUCCAAUGUGUAUUAUAUACUACUGAUCUCAUCUGAUCAUCCAUGCAAUUAACUAGGAUGCCUAAUUUGAAAGCAGACACUCCUCGAUUAAUUGUUUUAAUUUCCUUUAAGUGCUCCUGCUGUUCUGUUCAUGCUUUCAAAUAAUUAAUAACUGGAUGGAUUGAUUAUAUAAAUUCAAGUUAUGAAGCACCGAUCAAUUUAUUCAAUCCUGAAUCGAGGAAACACCAAAACACAUAUAUAUGUACUCUCCGUCUCCGAUACGACCACCCGAAACGAGAGUGUUUUUUACCCUACACAUUAAACUUUGAAGUGAGGGUUGCGUUCAGGCUUCUAUGGAUCCACAUGCUAAAGUAUUGCUGACGGAGGUGGAAAUUUUAUUAGAGCUCAAGAAUUUAUCGGGGUUUACUGCUUGUUAGGAUUUCUACUUGUUGGGAUAGGAAACAGGUGGAAUGACGGAAAAGAGAGAGAACAGUUUAGUGGGUGACUUUUGAAUUCUUUAUCUUUAUCCAAAAAUUAGUUUUACAUUUUUAAAUCUUUUCAAAAAUUAAAGGGCAUCAUUUAAUUUCAAGUUAACCAGGGUAUUAUACAGGACACGUGGCAAGCUCAUUAGGUGAUGGUGAGUAGAAAUGUUCCCAUUUAAUUAAUGUAAUCAUUUCAAUAUUUACUAUGUUUUAAAAUGAUUUGUUAUUAUCACUGAUUUGGUAAUAUUCUUUUUUAUUUGGAAGUGUUCGAAUCUCGUGAAUAGCAAAUUCGAUACCAAAUUAGGUUGCUCAUUGUAUGACUUAGUCGAACUCCCCCUCCCCUAGUGUAAAAAUAUCGAUGUACUAAAAAAAAAGAAUUUUUAUUGACACUCCAAAAAAUAUCAUUUGUACUCCAAAUUUUCUAUAAUUAAAAAAAAUACAUUGAAGUAUAAAAUGAGAUUUAUGGAGUGCUAAUAACAUUUUCCAUUUUAAAUAUUUUUAAGGUUAAAAAUAUAAUUUUAAUAUUUUUCAAUUGUAGCAUAAAUUUUGAGUUUUCAUGAAUGGCCGAACUCCCCUCCCAAAUCCCGGCUCCCCUAUCCUUGCUACAUUUUUUUUUUGAACAAACGAUAUUAUUUACAUUGAGGGGGAGAGGUGGGUUUAGCCUCACAAUGGGCUAGCAAUAAUGUGGUUCAAACUCACUUUUGACGAGACUCGAACCUAAGAUCUGUCACUUACAAGAGAAGAGAAGAGAAAUAUUAUUAAACCGUAAUACUAAGUGGCAUUCUUGCUACAUAUUAAGAUGCUAAUUUUUUUUUUUUAACAAACGAUAUUAUAUAUACACUAAGGGGUACGGGAGUGAGCUAAGCCUCACCCUCACAUUGGGCUAGUCAUCAAUAAUGUGGUUCAAAUUCACCUUGGCAAAAAUCGAAUAUAAAACCUAUCACUUACAAGUGAAGAGGAAUAUCACUAACCGUAAUACUAAGUGGCAUUAAGAUGCUAAUAAUAACAUUAAUUUUCAACUUUUACUGCCUUGUUUGGAGUACAAGACAAAAGUCAUUGACAUAACCGGAGGAAUUAAAGGCUUAAGUGGCUAUUGAGAUGAGAUUUUGCUUUUGGAGUUUGGGGAGACAUUCCGAUUGGAAGGGGAGUUUUGGCUAUUUUAUUUGAAGGAAUUCUGGAUGACAAGAUGCAGGGAUUCCAUAGAGUGUAAUGCUCCUUGAGUUCCGGAUUCGUUAUCCUGUUUGUUUAUCAACUUUUGAUUUUUCAAUGUGCCUAUUAUAUUUCAGUGGUAAAAUUUGAUUUAUCCUGUGCAGUAUGUAUGAGCAUAACGGUGAGAAGGAAUAUAUGGCUGCUACACAAUUUCAACCGGUUGAUCCCAGGCGGUGCUUUCCGUGUUGGGAUGAACCUGCUUGGAAGGUCGCUCUCGAUUUUUCUCUCUGAUAGUUGAAUUAGUUGAAUAAAUCUUGAUAUAUGUUUGUAUCUAGUCAUUUUGUAAAAUCAAUAUGGAUACUUUCGCACUGCUUAACCGCAGCUUUGAGUCUCAGAAGAAAGAUAGGUUUUUAUGGGAUAAGAAAUCAUUCCUUAAGUUAUUGUUAGAUUGUUUUACUAGGAUUGUUUGAAUUGACCCCAUUUAUUCUUAUCGAUUGGAACUUUGAUUGGCAGGCUACAUUUAAGAUUAGACUGGAUGACGUUCCAUCUGAAUUAAUUGCACUGACCAACAUGCCCAUUAUUGAAGAAAAAGUGGAUGGACAUCUGAAGACUGUUUUGUAUGAAGAGUCACCUAUCAUGUCGACAUACUUGGUGGCCAUUGUUGUUGAGUUGUUUGAUUACAUUGAAGAUCAUACAUCUGAUGGUAAAACUCAUACACAACAUCUCUUGUUCUGUAUUUGUUAGUAACCGUUUCUUGACAGUGUCAUAUUCCAUCUCCUCACAGGAGUCAAAGUGCGGGUAUAUUGUCAAGUUGGUAAAGCAAACCAAGGGGCGUUUGCUCUGAACUUUGCUGUCAGCGCUCUUGAAUUUUACGGAGAGUAUGUUUAUGGAUCUCAAAAUAACUCAAUGAAUCCUUUCUCUGAUUUUUGUCCCCUUCCGUGCUUAUGUUCAAUUGUUUAUCAUUUGAUAUGAAAUCAAUGACAAAAAAGUUCUACAGUUACUUUGCUGUGCCAUACCCCUUGCCAAAAUUAGAUAUGGUUGCAAUCCCUGAUUUUUUUGGCGCCAUGGAGAACUAUGGUUUAGUUACAUACCACGAAACGGUUUUGCUCUUUGAUGAACAUAACUCUUCAGCUGCCAACAAGUAAAUGGUAACAUACACAUACUGAAUGUCAAUCUUGUUUUCAUAAUUUAGCUUCAUUCUAGCUAUUGUUUUUUAACCUUAAUCAUUUCAUUUUGUUUUUGUGGAAGGUUGCAACUGUCGUGGCACAUGAAUUGGCACACCAAUGGUUUGGCAAUCUUGUGAUGAUGGAAUGGUGGACGGAUUUAUGGCUAAACAAGGCAUUUGCAUCAUGGGUAUCACUUUCUUCAUUUGUUGUACUUGUUAUUUUAUAUGCUUUUAGACUUAAAAGUUCAUGUUUUGACGUCAUUAGGUGAGCUAUUUAGUUAUAGACAUCUUGUUCCCAGAGUGGAAAAUAUGGACUCAGUUUCUUCGCAUUGAAGUUAGUGGGGGUCUUAAGUUGGACGGGCUUGAACAAUCUCAUGCCAUUGAGGUACUUCAAAUUGGACUAGGUCUUCCACAGAUUUUUUAUUCUGUCUGAAGUUUUAUUUUUCGCGGCAUAGGACCUUGAUCACCUGCAUAACAGGCUUUAAAUAGAAAUAUGCACGUAUACUUUCACAUUUGUAGUAUUUCUUGUACACCUUAUUCCCUUUUUUUCGCUAGGUGGAUAUUAAUCGUGCUUCCGAGCUUCAUGAAAUAUUUGAUGCAAUAUGUUAUGAUAAAGGAACUUCUGUUGUUAGGAUGCUACAAACCUAUCUCAGUGCCAAAUGCUUCCCGGUUGGUCUUUUGGUUUGUUAGCAAUUGUCCUUGACGACUAAACCAACAAUCUUAUUUAUGAGAUUUUUUUACAUUUAUUCCAUGGAAAUUUCCGAAAAAUAAAGGCUUCAAGGCAUGCAGGAUUAAAAGAGGAUAUAUCCUGAAAAAUGAUUAUUCUUUGAGAUUUUUGUUCACUCGUCUUCUGGUUCGUAUUGGUUAUCAAAUACGUUUCUCAUGAAAGUUACAGAGUUAACCGCCUGCUAUUUUUUCAUGCGUCCAGAGGUCACUUGCUUCGUACAUAAAAAAGUAUGCUUCAUCAAAUGCAAAGACAGAAGAUUUAUAGGCUGCCCUUUAGGAGGGAUCGGGUGAACCAGUGAACAAGCUAAUGAAUUCAUGGACACAACAAAAGGGUUACCCUGUUAUAUCUGUCGAAGUCAAAGAUCAGAAAUUGGAAUUUGAUCAGGUUUUUCCAUAUGUUGCCUUCCUUGAAAAUCUUGUUUGACUAUCAGACGAAAUUCUAAACGAACAUCUCAGAGGUCUAAUGCACUUUUUUAAAGUUUUUAAAUCGUUCGUUUAGGUUUUAUUCCAUGGUACAAAGAUCUAAUAAGUUGAUUAAUAAAUGGCAGACACAAUUCUACUUGAGUGGUUCCCAAGGCAACGGGCAAUGGAUUGUGCCAAUAAUAUAUUAUGUUGUGGCUCCUAUGAUGCACGCAAGAGCUUCUUGCUACGAAAUAAGUCUGAAACUCUUGACGCAAAGGAAGUUUUGGGUUGCUCCAUUGCAAAGACAAGAUCGAGUUGGAUAAAAGUCAAUGUGUAUCAGACUGGUUUUUACAGGGUGAAAUAUGACGAGGAACUUUUAGCUGCUCUUGGAUAUGCUAUAGAAAAUAAACACUUGUCUGCAACUGACGGAUAUGGUAAUCACGUUUUUAUGCUCACACACUUGUUUAUCUCUUCGAUAGUGAAAUUGGAAGUAUUCAGUUCAGCUUUCAUCAUUUCUUUUCCUUCAACAGGAAUUUUGGAUGACUCGUUCGCCAUUUCUACGGUUUGCUUGCAGUCUUUUGCUUCAUUGCUUACCUUGUUGGGUGCUUACAGAGAGGAACUUGACUAUAUAGUGUUGUCAAAUUUGAUCACUGUAAUGAUCACCUCUGCAUUGUGUUAAUUUUCUGGACUUAUAGCCUUAGUGUAAUUCAUGUUUUCACCUUUCACAGAUAUCUUAUAAGCUGGCAAGAAUUGCAGCUGAUGCUGUACCGGAUCUACUGGAUCUUAUUAAUCAGUUCUUUCUUAGCCUUUUUUAGUACUCUGCAGAGUAAGCUUGUUCUCUUUUUUUUUUCCCUCAACUAGCCAAGUACCUAAAAGGUCAUACCCAGUGCACAAGGCUCCCGCUUUACGCAGGGUCUGGGAAAGGUGAAUGUCGGCUAGCCUUACCCCCAUUUUAUGGAGAGGCUGCUCCCAAGUACCUAGCUAGAUAAAAAUUCUUUACGCAGACAUUGGUUCUUUAAUGAAUAAAAAUGGGUGUCCAGUUGGUACUGCCUACAAUGAUAUCGUUACAUUAUUUCAUGGCAUAUCGACAAAUUGGUAUUCAUGCAUACUGUCUAGGUAAAUACGCUUGUGUGAUGAUAAGAGGGCUGGAGCAAAAUGUUUUAACACUCCCAAACUAUCCACAAUUUUGCUUCUUUCUUUUCGUUUAUUUAUAUAUUUAAAUUUGGUUUUGUUUCCAGGAAGCUUGGCUGGGAGCCUAAACCGGGUGAGAGCCAUUUAGAUGCAAAGUUCAGAGAAGAAGUUUUAAUUGCCCUUGCUGUGUUUGGACAUGGCCCGACAAUAAACGAAGCAAGUAGGCGUUUUCAUGAAUUCUUAGAUGACAGAAAUACGCCUCUUCUUCAUCCUGACAUAAGAAAGGUUUGUUUUGUUGUAAACCAUUAAUUAAACACCUUUUAAUUCUCUGUUGAUCAUCAUUAUUAGUAACUCUUAAUUCUUGCACUGCAGGCAGUGUAUGUGGCAGUAAUGCAAAGAAUGAACAUGUCUGACAGAUGGGGCUACGAAUAUCUUCUUAGAGUUUACAGAGAGACUGAUCUGAGCGAGGAGAAAUCUCGCAUUUUAAGUAAUACUACUGAUUAAUUUGUACAAUUAAGGAUGUUGAUCCAACAUCUGAGUUUGUUAUGUCGUUGGAAUAAUAAUGUAUCUGUUUGUGCCUGUAGGAUCACUAGCAUCUUGUCCAGAUCCGAACAUAACACUGGAAGUUCUCAACUUUUUGUUGACUUCUGAGGUAUUUCUGAUUUUGUCUCUCUUAAUUGCAGGUUUAAAUUGUAAUUAGGUACCACAACAUUAGAGUAUCUCAAACCAAUUGUGAUUGACGAUACUGGGUUUAAUCCCAUCGAUUGCCAUCGAUGUAUAUAGGUACGCCAUCAGGAUGCUUCCGCUGUGCUGUCCUCAGUUAGUAGGGAAGGACGGGUAACAGCUUGGACGUGGCUGAAGGUAACUCUCAAUACCACUAGUUUCUAAUGAGCAUGCAUACUAUGAAAUGUACGUACCCACAUUCUAUGAAAUGUACGUACCCACAUUCAUGGAUUUGGUUUCUUUCCUGGUCUUGUUAAUAUGGUUCAUUUUGCCUUCGGGGAUGAUAUCCGAAACACAGGAUAAUUGGGAGCACAUCUCAAAAUGUGUUCUGGAUUUCUAAUUAUUCAGAUUGUCAGUGAAAUUGUUUCACCGGUUCGUUCUCUCUCUCUCUCACUCUCUCUAAACUUUUAAUUGUUCUCGUAUCUGGGGCCUUGUAUCCUUGUGUAAUUACCUUCCUUGCUACGCAGCUAGCGUCAUUUGAGAAGGUUAAAGAUGUAGAUGAGUUCUUCAAAGUCCAUCGUAUCCCCUCGAUAACUAGAACCUUGAAGCAGAGCGUUGAGCGGGUGUGUUGAGGAAAACUGAGAGUACACUGAGGAUCUAACUCAGAAAUUUCACUGUAAAUAGACUUUACCUUGUGGAAAUAUUCGGCAAUCGUCAUGUCUUGUUGGGCCACUGAUAACAACUCGUUCUCAAGGAACUGGAGUCUUGUAUCGUUCCUCUUUGAAAAGAGUGUGGCGAAGGUAUCCCACGCUUUUUUCGGUGUCUUAGCCUUCCGUAUGUGCUCCAACAUGUCAUCCUCGACUACGGUUUUUAGGGCGAACAUGGCUUUUCCUGCCUUGAUCUUCCACUUUUGCAGAGCGCCGUUGGUGUCUUAUUCCGGCUGCGUAACUUCAUUACCGUCGACGACAUCCCAAAGAUCUUGGCCUUGUAGGUAAGACUCCAUACACGUCGCCCAUGUGUUGUAAUUGUUGUUGUUCAACUUUUUUUAUUCCUCCAACAACUUGAAGAUCUCCCAUCGUGUCGGCAGAACUUCGAUAAGCCGAACAAAACUAGUCAACAAUCUUGCGAAGUACUAAACUUCUCACGAUUCUAAAAUGCUUCACUAGAGACGGUCUCUAAUCGUACCGCUCUGAUACCAAUUAUUGAGGAAAACUCAGAAUACAUAACUCUAACACAAGUGUUGAAAAGACAACACAAGUAAACAAAUUACUUGUAUUAUACACACAAAAUAUUACAACACUCACAAAGACAACUUUAAAAGCAAUGACACUCACUUGUUUUUUAGAGACACACUUUAAAUCACUCACACUCCUACAAAACUAUUCUUACUUCUUCUUGAUUGGUUCUUUCUUGAUUGAUUGGUUACAUAGCACCACACCCAUAUUUAUAGGCAUGUUUGCCGACCUCACUAGCACUUUCUAGUGCAUAUUCAUGCACACACUGCACCGACAUACAAGCCCUUCUUAAUUGCCGACUUUAUUACUUGGCUAAGAAUGCCCAUCUAGAUUAUUCUUUAGUGUUUUAGAUUACUCUAGAAUUUGGUUUGUUAACCAACUUCUUAUUCUAGAGUUAUGUAGGAAUUUCUUCACAAAUAAACUAGGCUUAAUUAAAUAUGGGCCUUUUGGGCUGGUGUUGAUUCUUCAACAGGGUGCGAAUCAAUGCCAAGUGGGUUCAGAGUGUUAAGGGUGAGAAAGAUCUUGCCGAUGUUUUGAAGGAGUUGGCAUACAGGAAAUACUAGCUUUGAUAGAAAAAAUGGGUCUGGAUUUUCCUCGGUUAUUAUGCAAGUUACAUAUUUUCCAAAAGAAGAAUAAUGGGACAUGGAUAAAUAUAAAUGCACUGUCAAAUUAUAAUACUAUAUUUUCGAGACACAUAGUUUUUUAUCUAUUUCAUAGAGGGACAAAACUUAUCCAUAUGGCAGGUGAUGUCAUGGUUGCUUUUUUAAUUGUCGUAUUUGCAUUAUUAGAGUUACUAAACUAGACAGCUAUAUCGGCCAAUCGAUAUGCUGACCUCACUCGGAGUGCGUUGGUGUGAAAGUUGAGAAUGCAAACCCUACGUGCUAUAACCGAGAGAACUAAAAAAUCGAAUGAAACAAGUGACUUGCAUGUGAAGAAAGUGACAUAUUAGGGUUUAGGUGUCGAAGGGGAUGCAUGCUUAUGAAAGGGACUGCAAGUUUUGCACAUAAUUAAUCCCAAAAAUUGGUGCGUUAGUUCAAAUUACGGUUAAACUUUCCACGUCCGAAGAAAUAUUUAAGCAGUGUCGACAGAGGUGAAAAAAGGAGUGCCUGGAGUGAAGAUGAGUAUCAUUUCCUUUGUCGUCGUCUUUGAGGAAUUCAGGUGGGCAGGGGAGAGAUCCGUCAACACAAGCAAUCAAACGGUGGCUCUUCAAAACUAGAACGAUCUCAGGAAGCAGAAAGGAAGACGGUCAGCAGCAGGAGGAUUGGUAGAAAUGGUUGACGCGGUGGGACACGCUUGCAAGGGUAAGCAGGAUCGGAAAAAAAGACGGUGUGAAAGAGGCGUAGGCAGAGAAGACGACUGAAGUGAACGGCCUCGAUAACUCAUCAGAGGCAUAAGGUGUGUAUUAUAUUAUCAUGCUGUACAAUGAAUACAUUUGAUACAUGUGAUAUAUUGAGUUGAUGAGAUACAUUUGUACAAUCGAAGACUAAAAACAUCUGAUACAAUGAAUGAUGAUUCUAUCGUUUUAACACCUGGCAGGUGACGAAAGAAUUGUUUGUCAUAAGCUCGACUACAAGUACGCUGUCUCUGGAAAGUGAUGACAACAUGAACAAUAAAGCUAGCAGUUUUCAAUGUGCAGAGACAUCGAAAUGGAACCCAAAGCACGCUGUCUUCAGAUUUCUCAAAGUUCAGCCACGAACCAUUGCCAUCUGCCAUUUUCUUUUCGAGGACACUAUUGGUCUGGUUCAAGAAAUCAGGAGCUUACUAUCCUUGAACCCGUCAGUUCUACCUGGUCACUUAGCAUAGUGUUUCUAUUCCAGGUGGUUCUUCUGUGCUCACUACAUUCAGCAACAGAUGACAUUCUCAGAACUGAACAUUUUGGACAGCCCCAACCUUGAUCACUACGUUAUGAAAACCAGUGCAUUAUCACAUAGUGCAUCAUAAAACUUUGCAUACAAAAGCUUGAAGCAUAGCCGCCCGUAGACCACUUUUGGAUGCUAUUUUUCCUUGGAACAUACUGAGAGAGGAUCUCACAAGUUCAUAAACCUGAGCGACCGCUCUGCAAAUUUUCUUCAAGAACUUCUAGAUGAUGUGAGCCGAUGGCGGACAUAAUUGCAAAAUUGAACUUUGACUGACAUGCUCAUAAGUCACAGUGCAGUCCAGCAUCUUUCCAAGGAAAGCAUCGGUUAGCCAGAAUACAUAGUGAAUUUCCCUGUGUAUUAUAUAUAUCAUCAGAACAUGUAAAAAAAAAAUAAGAGCUGCAAAAUGACUAGAAAACAUGCCGUAGAACAUUUCUUUUGACAACAAGAAGUACAUAGAUUGGUAGUAAGGCCAUCACUCACAGCCAUCCAAUGCAAGAAAGUUUUGCUUUUUCAGAUCAACAGCAAGAACACACCUUGGUAAAUCUAUGAUUCAGGCACAACAGCUUUACCUUUAUAUUAGUCGCCCUGAAAAGGUUGCAAGGAACCCCACGAUCUUCCAACUUUCAGUUUGACAUGCAACGGAACUGGACAACGAGUACUUAAAUUAGGUACAGCAAACAAAUGUCCUCAAAUUAUCGAGCAUUAAGCAAUGUUCCAGAAACUUUAGAAAUAUACCACGAAGCGAAAUAGCAUUUUCCAUGCUCCUCUGUAGCAGCAAAGCAGCCUCCUUUAUCACAACAGGAUCAACUUCCAGUACUAAUUCAUCAUGCACCUGGUUAGAAACAACCAACAAACAUUGUUACAUGAGUUGCCUUGUAAAUGAAGCAAAAUUAUAUUUAAUUAACAAAGCUAACAAGAUGCUAAAUAUUUUAGUUUCUUAAUAUCUUCCUCUACAUUUCGAAUUGACCAAAGAACAUAAAAUUAUAGAAUUGUAAACAGAAUUUCCAAAACCAACCUGUAAUAAAAUUCGGCAGCGGCCCUUCAGUACGUGUAACUUUGUUGCAGGGUGAGAAGAAGAAUCAGGCCUUUCAACACCUUCAACUAUCACGGAAUAUAUAUAUUUAUCACUGCAAUCUUAAUUAUGUCAGCAGCAGAUCCCUGUAAAAGGAAGACAUCAGAGAAAAAUACUACACUUCAGUGAUUACCUUUAAACACCCACACUCCUCAUCCCCACAGAAGGGAGGGAAAAAGUCAUACCUGACUGACAUAUAGAAUUCACAGCUUCUCUGAGCCUUUGACUUUUCUUUACUAUUCCCAAGUUUUAUUUUUGACAAAAAGCGCUUUCUUCCCUUAGGGUUUUGAUAAGUAUUUAUCAAAUAUAGCCAAAAAUGAAUCCUUAAUUUCAAAAAUGUCAUUUUUUAUAAAAAAAUUUCAAAUGUAUCCAAAAUUCCACUUAAAUAGACGCAAAUACCCUCAAAUUUAACAAUCAAAUAAAUUAAAGGUUUUUUAGCCAAAAUGAUUCGUGACAUUGACAUAACUCAUUAAUAUGGUCCUUAACAAUUAAUGAUAAUCAAUAGUAGUGUUCUUGAAUUUGUUAUCAGUAAUCAUUUUAGUCUUUCUUUGAAUUUAUCCAUUGUGAUCAUUUUAGUUUUUUCGUGAAAAAUCUAUCAAUUACUCUGUUAGCGUGAUGAUGUGGCACCAUGUGGGUUUCACAAAUACAAUCAUAUAACGACAUGUGGAUUAACUUUAAAAACUAUUUUUUUAUAUUUAAAACUAAAAAUGAUAUUAGUAAGAAAAAAGACGUUGACGGCAUGAUUGAAAUUCUACUACUCGCACUUGCGGUAACCGCAGUGGGGCUCAAUGUCAGUGAUGAGGGGUCGAAGGGGAUAGGGUUGUGGUGGAGUGUAGAAGCGAAGGUGAAAUUGGACCGAAGCUUGAGGCAACAGUAGCUAAAACGCCUUUAAUUUAUUUAAUUGUUAAAUUUGAGGGUAUUUGUGUCUAUUUAAAUGAAAUUUUGGAUAUAUUUGAAAGUUUUUAUAAAAAGUGACAUUUUUGAAAUUAAGAGUUAAUUUUUGGCUAUAUUUGAUAAAUAAUGCACAUAAUGAACAGUUGAAUAGCUUCAAAGAAAUGUUUACAGCAUUGUAUUACAAGGGAACUAACAGACUCUUCUGGAAUCCCAGUCCAUCUAGCCGCUAUCAUGGUGAAGACAUCACCAUGGGAUUACUAAGGAGUUCAAUGAGUGCAGAGUCUUUAGAGAAUGUGCCAUCAGCCGCAAUUCUAUCUGAGAAUAAUCUGCAGUUACAACAAUAAAACAAUUAACGUACACCAUAGAGUCAUAAAUCCCAUCCCCUUCUCCUAGUUAAUAUCCCACAAAAAAUUUCCUAGUCUGAAUAUAUGACAAUUCUGUACCAACCCUCCCCCACAUCCUCAUCUACUCGAGAAUUUUGUUGACUUUUAUGGUAUAAAUAUAAUAAUUGUUAAAGUUCUUUGAAUUAGCUGGGUUUCUAUGCAAGUAAGAAAUCUGAGAGAAUAGAGAAAGAUGCAAUAUGAAGAAAUGCUCUGCUCACUCUCAAAGUCUGAGAGGUGAUAUUUUCAUAUAUAUCUCACAGAACACACGCACUAAGGCAUAAGUACAUAACUGCUAGCCUUAGCUGGAUACACACAACCAACAAUACAAUCUCAGCCUUACACUUGUCAUAAUCUAAGACUAAGUGAAUAUACAAUUCAAAACAAGGCUUAUUUACUUUAACUUUACUUAGCUCACAGCUUAUACACUAAUAAUAAUAACACACAAAUGGCCUUCAAAUACAAGAGCAAGCUGAUCGUUACCUGAGUAGGAAUGAAGUAAUCGCGAGCAUUGAUGUUCAAUUGAUCAACAUCAGUUUCGUUUCCAUUUCCAUCCUUAUAUAUUUUAAAGUCAACCAUAUGUUCAACACACUGCAUAAAUCAAAAAGAACAAAAUGUGAUAAGAUAGUAAUGAUUAAAUUUUGUUAACGACUGAAGGAGAGGGAAGAGAGAAUAAAACGACGCAUGGGAAACCCAAACCUGGCGAUUUGGUUCCUCCAUUAAAGGCGACCAGUUGCUGUUGAUGUUUGGAGCCAAUGACCAUGUAAUGUGUACUAAUUCUGUGUCCUCACAGAGCCUACCCAGUGAACAAAUUGAUACCAAUGUACAGUUUAAAAGUUUUGCCAACGUACGAUGCUCCUUAAUGACGGGAAUUAUGGGAUGCUCAUCCCUGAAAUGAAAUCGAUUAUAGGAUGCUCAUCCAUCAAAACAAUGAGAGGCUGAUGCCACAAAAUCAAGAGAUUCAAAUGUGCAAGCAAGAAUACUUUAAUACCAUCUCCUUCAAGUGUUCAAUAUUCAAACAAAACAAUCUAAAUGGGAUGGAAGCCUCUAUGGAAUCAAAUAACUAAAUGGUAAUCCUAUUCGCUUGAGUAUUUAUAUUUCAACAGCUUAUUCACACCUGAGAGGGGGUAAGGUUACGAAGUACGAUAGAAGAAUAGAAGUCUCGCUAAUACCUUAAUAAAUCCAAGCAGUGCUUGUCCGUACUUGGGUGUUGUUUCCCCUUGUUGCGGCCCUCUGGUAUGGGCAGCUUUUAAGUGUGUUGUGAUUGACUCAUAUUUUGAGCUGACAACAAUGAAGUGACCUGUGUUUUUUUGGUGGAAAUAUCACAUGAUGUGGGCUGCAUGAAAGUUGCAGACAAGUGCUGCAAAGUAAAAGCAAAAGUGGACAACAAGCCAAAUGUUUUUCGGCUAAUAAACUAAACAAAGAAAAGUUGUGUUGUGAUUGACUCAUAUUUUGAGCUGUCAACAAUGAAGUGACCUGUGUUUUUUGGUGGAAAUAUCACAUGAUGUGGGCUGCAUGAAAGUUGCAGACAAGUGCUGCAAAGUAAAAGCAAAAGUGGACAACAAGCCAAAUGUUUUUCGGCUAAUAAACUAAACAAAGAAAAGUUUGGUGCACAUCAUCAUGAGUAAAGACACAAUGAUAAUGCUUGUAAGAAAAUAGAAAAAAGUGGUUGCUUUUAGUUUAAUGAUUAUGAAGAAAUGUGAUGAUGGAUUGGCCUUUAUUUAAUGCAAGGAAAUGCUUGCUUUAUGUGUGCUUGCCGAGAGAGAAGGUUUGCAUCAGAAAAGCAUCCAAGGUGGAGAAAGCAUUUGGUUCUCCCAUGGGAAAGGUUAAACAUGGGUUGAGAGAAAAUCAAGAGAGCUAGAGUGAAAAGUAUUAUAGUGAAAGAACUCUUGGGUAGAGUGAGGCUCUUGGGAAAAUGCUAUGAGUGGGUGUGCAAGGGAUUUGGGAUUGAGUUAUGUUGAUUUAACUCAUGUGUACUUGUACUGUUAUUCAUAGUGAAGAGCAAUAUCUCUUCGGGGACGUAAGCAUGUUUUUGCCGAACCUCGUAAAUUUUUAGGUGUCUUUAUUUCUUGUAUUUUAUUUUGUUCAACUGAGUGUGAUUUGGUGAGGUUGUAAUCUGAAUCUCGUUUCCGCACUAACGAACACGCCAAGGCACAACAAAGUGUCCAUACAUAGAUUAGCAAAUCUGGUGCCGUAGAUAACGAAAAUUUCAUGCCAGCCAACUUAUAGGCUUCCUUCUCAAGCUGCCCUAGCUUUUUUCCUAACACCUUGCGUGCUUGUAAGCAUCCCUCCAUGUCAAGACCCACUCCCCAGAGCUCCAUGUCGGCAAGAAUAUUAACCUAGCAUACAAAUAAGCAAUAAGCUAUUGUCGAAGUGGUUGGGUUGGGUACUGGUUCUCAAGCACCCAACUAAACAGUGGUCAUGCAUUUAAAUCCAAAACAAACAAUAGCAAUAAUGUAAACCUCAAAUAAAAUGAAGCUCCCUCAAAAAAAUUAAGUCAGAUGCUAUGAAAGUAACUUACCAAUGGGAAUUCAAAAUCUAGGAGGGCUUCAGUGAGGUCUUCAGCAACAAUUAACUUCCAAAGAACAGAACAUAAGGCUCAUAUUUUUGCAGCCCGAUGGUAGCAACCGUUAUGUGCAGCUCUUCGCAUCUGAUUCUUCCACCUGCCAUUCCGAUUAGCAGCUGAUGCAGCUUCACUAGAUAACCUUUUCUUAACUUCCUAUAAAUCGUUCUAAAAUCUUCAAAUGCAAAUUCAGUAACGAUGAACAUGUAAAUAUUGAAUGAAAGAAUUAUAGUUAAACACUUCUGCCUUUAAGAAAUGCUUUGAUUGAAAUGAUGAAGUUUCUUUUUUGGGAGUUUUAACAAAAUACUCCUGGUACUGUUCACUUUUAAUGAAAAACCAUAUUUAUACAUUUCCCUGGUAUUAUUCACUAUAUCUUUAAAAAGAAUUUUCAUUAAAAAAGAAGUUUUUUUGGAUUUUUCGUUAAUUUUCCUUUAUAUGAACCGGAGGCAACAGGAGAGUUUUCCCAACAGAUGGCUAUGCCAUGUAUUUCAAAGGGCGCAACAGAAUUCAAUUCCGAUCGUUUGUUGUAGUGAAUAUCAAAAUAGAACUCUCAGAUGGAUCCCCAGAGAUCCAAGAAGGAAUCAAAACCGCCAAGAGUUUUAACUCCAUGAAUAGGGCCUUUCCCACAAGCAUUGCUUUUAUAGCUAGAGGACAAAUUCUCCCUUUUGUAGCGUUUCUGUUUUUCAAGAGCAAGAGAGUCAUCAGAUGCCCUAGUUCUAUCAAUUAAGCUUUAUAACUCAACCCGGUCAGUCAAAUCAGUACUUUUCGUUUAAUCCAUCGCAGCAGUAAGAUAAUCCAGCCCUCGAAGAUGUACUUUAGAAUUGUCAGCACUAGACUUAAUUUGCAUGACACCAGUUCACUUUACUUCUGCAGCCUUUUCAGAAUGAACCCUACCUUCCAAAGAUGCUUUAGCAGCGUACUCUGUGCUGCGCUCUACAUUAGGGAAGCUACUAGUGGAGUUAUCACCAGAGGAAUUUCCUUCUCCUUGCAUACUGGGACUUCCACCACCAGUUAAAAAUACCGGUCCAGAAAACCGUGGGACAUACAUGUUGGUGGAUAGUCGCCAAAUUAGUGGCCAACUUGGCAUUCACUUUCGGCUAGAAAAUUAAACAAAGAAAAGUUUGGUGGACAUCAUCAUGAGUAAAGACACAAUGAUUAUAUUUGUUGAAAAAAAAAAGGAAGGUCACGAUGAUGUUUGUAAAGGAAUGAUUAUUCCUUUACUUUGGAUUUUUUUUAUUAAAUGCUUUUGUAUGGAUAAAGGUUUUCAGCCGAAUGAGGGAGGGAAGGGGGGAGCGGCAGAUGAGAGAAACCAGGGAGAGCAUUCGGCUCUCCCAUUUGAAUAUGAGCUGCUCCUUCCCACCAUUUGUAAUAAUCUCAUUUUGUUAGUAAUCACUCAAUCAAAGAUGUUGGUGCUACUUGUUGUGUUUGGUUCAUACAUUUGUGAGUAAUUAUGAGUCAUGUGUUAACAACAAUGAAGUGACUUGUGUUUGCUUUCGGUGGAAAUAUCACAUGGUGUGGGUUGCAUGAAAGUUGCGUGCUGCAAAGUAAAAGUAAAAGUUUGGUGGACAUCAUCAUGAGUAAAGACAUAAUGAUAUGCUUGCUUUUGCUUUAAUGAUGAUGUUUGUUUUUUGCUUUAAUGAUGAUGCAAGACACAAUGAUGAUGACUAUGAUGGCUAUGAUGCAAGAACUAUUUUGUGCGCACCAUUCUUGAUCUUCUUUGCUACGCCUACUUGGAUGCGCCUUUGAGCUGAACCUUCUGCAGUCAUAGUAUCAUCUUACCAAUAUUAGGAAAGAAUGCAGGAAAAAUACGCAAUAAAAUCAAAAUAACUUUAAGAAAUAGUAAAAUAAGUUAUAAAAGAAAAGUGGGCAAAAACUCAUCUUCAUAAAAUAAAGUACAUAAACUAUAGAGCUAGAACCAUCCAUAUGAACAAAUAUUAUCACAAUCCCGCUGGCAAACAAGCAUAUGAAACAAAUGCAUCUGAGCAAACUUACAUGCAUUUAGAAAGCUAAUUGUUGUACAAUACUUGACUGGAAAGAGUACCGUUGUGCAUUUCAUUGAAAGACCAGAAAGAGAUUCGCGUUCAGAAAAAGGUCUUGGAAUUAGUUAUCACACACUAAAAUUUUCCUUCUUAGGCAGAAUUCUUUUCUGUAGUUACUGGUUUGUAAUGUUACAUAAACUCAAUUCCUUUUUUAAAGGUCAAAGAGAAUGCAUGGAGUAAGCUAAGAAACACACUUCGGGUUUUCAGAAUGUCUCCAAAGCAAAGAAAUGCUAAGAACUAAGCUAAGAAACAAUUAUUUCUUAAUAGUCCUGGUAACCAUCACAAAUCAAACAUAGUUUAGAAGAACAUGAUCUUAUCAGGACAUCAGAUGAUAUUAAGAUAUCAUUUACCAGGAACUUAUCACAGGAAACUGAGAAGCCGUGUACUAAAAUUAGAAUCUUAUAUGCAUCACCUUGUUCGUUCCAUGAUGAAAAUUCAAAAAGAGCUUUGACUAUUUCAGGGAUGGACGCUUCAGCAAUUGCUAAAGGAGUACGCAAGCCAGCUUUAUAGAGUGCCCUCGCUCGAGAACCCUACAGAUCAGCACAUACCAUUUACAAAUAAAUAAAUAAACAUUACUGUUGAGCAUAUGUCAGGUAUCAAAAGGAGGUUACGAAUGUGACUGUAGUUCACAUACCUUGAUAUAUGGAAUUGUAGUAAGCUCUACAAUCUCUGCUCUCACUCCAAAUGAAACACGAUUUUGAAACUUGCAAACCAAGCCCUCUAAAUCAUGCCAUCCACGCCUCUCACAAACACAUGGUUAACCAUCGAUGCAAACCUUUCUCUUGUAAGGCCUGCACCAUACCUCUAGCCAUUUUGAAAGCUUCACGUACUCAGUGAUAGCAGCUUCCUUCACCACAUAUUGAAGAGUUCACAUUUAGCAAGGCAGAAGUCAACAAAUCUCACAAUAUCCCAUAAAUAAAUAAAUCUAAACUGAUAGAUACUUUUUUUUUUUUUUAGAAACUUCGACGGUACAAGGUAAUUUUAUUGAUAACAAAAAAAUAAGUUACACCUAGUUUGUGGAGACAUAAACCUUACCCCUAAAAAACAGAGACAACAAAAAGGAAUACACAAAAAAAAAGAGGGAACCUAAACCUUACCCUUCUAGAAACAAAAAACGAGAAUGAUACAAAGAAAAAGGAGGGGGGACAUAAACCUUAUCAUUCUAAAAAAAAAAAACAAGAAUGAUACAAAGGAAAAGGGGGGACAUGAAACCUAACCCCUCUAGAAUCAAACCUAAAGGUCUAAACUUGCAAAAUAAGUCAAAUGACAUCAUAAAGUUAGGAGAAAACAAGAAAGUGAGACAAAUCUGGAUGCCGACAUGCACAUUAAUUUGAGAAGUGGUAAUCAGACAAGUCAACAUAGUCUGAAAACAUAGUAGCACGAACAACUAUCGAAGGAGAAUCAUGCCAUGUAAAACUGAUGGAUACUCGAAAAAGAAAAAGAGCAAAAAUUUAAAUUACAAGACGAAAGGAACAAAAUGUAUGUCACCUCCCAUGUGCGUGUGUAUAGAUGGUUGAUUUCGUCAUAUCGAGUUCAUUGAAGAGGUGAAGUCAAAGUUGAUUUGAUGCUUCAAUUAUAUUGUUUUCAUUUCGAUUCAGGUGAAUAAGUAGAAAGUUUAUAUAAAAAUAAUAUUAUUUACUCUAAUUCUAUAAAGUUUAGUAAGCAGUUCUAAUGUGAAAAUCCAAUUAUGAUUUUUCUACUUUCUUUUCUUUCAUUUUACUUACAAAUUAGUAAACGAGCUAUAAUAAGAAUAUCACCAAGAGAGACUUUAUCCUCUAUAAAGAUACUAUAUUUUAAGCCUUAAUGAGAAAUGAGGAGAAAAAAUGUGUGUGAUUAAUAUUUAUCGUUUAACAUGUUGAAAUUAAGUAUGCCACAUAUAAACAACCGAGCUUUAUCGUCCUUACUUGAACAACUAAACAGUAUUCCACGAUUUCUUUCGCUCAAAGUAAAGCAUAUAUGCCCCUAAUAGAAUCCACAUUUUUGUAUUCUUAAUUAAAUUUUAAUAAGAACAUUUAAUACUACGAUCUAAUGUUAUUAUUCUUCACUUGUAAGUGAGAGUUUAUAUUCGAUUUUCACUAAAGACAAUUUUGAACCACAUUACAGCUAACCCAUUAUGAGGCUAAGCGUAUCCUCUCUCAUUUAUUUAACAAAAAAAAUUAUAUAACAAAGUUAGAAAUCAAAAUGAUUUUUUUUCUCUUAUAUUCAUUUUUAGUAAUUACAUAUGCCUUAAAAAUAAACUAAUUGACACAAAAAAAAAAACACAAUAACUGAUCAAAUCAAACAUUUCUAUAUAUAAGUGUAUUCUUCUCCAAAAAAUACAAAAGAAUGAUAGAGACAUCAAAAAACAAAUGUUUUUAUAUUAUAUAGCAUUUAAAAACAUAUGUUAGAUUAGAGGGAAUAUAGAAUAUAGAAUAUAUAGCCUCUCGCUCAAAAAAUAAAAGUAAAAUGUAAAAAAGAAAAAAGAAUUACAGAGAGACAAGUACAGUCGAGAAAUUCUAUAAAUUGGAGCGAGGAGAGUAGAGGAAGAGUCCCGCGCGGCAUCUCAGCGAGCGAUCGAUUUAGGGGUUUUCAUCAGAAACCAGAACAAGUUUACAAACAAAGCGAAUCGGCUUACAAGUUCACAAACAAAGCGAAUCGGCUUAGGGUUCGCACUCUUCCUGUUCUCUGGAGAACCAGCAUUGCAUCGAUUACUGUCUUCGGCUCUGCAGAGAGCCGCUGUAAGGUUCGAUUUUGCCCCUCUCAUUGUUUUAAUUCGUUAAAUUUUCACUCGCGAAUUGUUUCUUUGAUUGGUGGUUGUAUCUGGGUUUUAUUCGUUUGAUUUAAUUGUCAGAUUUUUUGGGUUGGUUGAAAAGUUUUGGAAUUUCAUGCAUUUGGGGAUUGUUCUAUGUGUAAUUAUCUGUGGUUUUCAUCAUUUAAUUAGUUUUUUUCCCCCUUCGGAGGUCUUCGGGAUGUAAUUUUGAUUGCUUAAAUCGGAGGCACAAGAUAGUGCAGUGUUAGUGUUCCAGGAUAUUGGGAGUCUGGGAUUCUAGGGUUUGUUUUUGUAUCAAUUGAAAGAUGUUUUAUUAAUUAAAAAAAAAGAUGUUUUAUUAAUUUAUGGAGAGAAGGUCUUGAUUUGUUAUCGAACAGUUAUUUAAGUCUUAAGAUAAGACAAAUUUAGUACUGUCCUGAAUCAGUUUCACUUCGCUUGAAUGUAUUCCUCUUUAUUCCUUUGAACUGCAGUAGUGUUUUCUGCUUAAGAUAAACCGGGAUUGGUAACCGUAGUGGAAAAAAAAAAAGAUUUUUUGGGUGUAAAUUGUUCUCGGGAAUCAUUAUCUUCUUACAUUAUUGACUGGCAAUUGUUCUAUCAAAAUAUUGGUAAUAGGUUUUUCCUACUUUUUCAGGUUAACUGUGAGUCUGCUUUUGAAGAGGCCUGGUGGGGGAAUAUGGAACAAGAUACACGGACUGAAAAGCUUGAAUUUACAUGGGGAAAGAAGAAAGGAAAGGGAGGGAAAAAUAAGGACGUUCAGUUAUGAAUCUUUUACUUUUGAUGGUGAAGAGUACACGCUGUAUGAUUGCGUUUAUCUUUACAAGGAAGAUGAACCUGAGCCUGAGAUUGGAAAGCUAAUAAAAAUAUGGGAAACUGGUGAGAAGACAAGGAAAGUUAAAGUUCUAUGGUUUUUUCGUCCUUGUGAGAUUUCAAAUUUUCUUGGAUGUGAAGAGGUACUUGAGAAUGAGUUGUUCUUGGCAUCCGGUGAUGGUGUGGGCCUUGCGAAUCUUAAUCCAUUGGUACUUACAUUUUGAUUUAUGCUCUUAACUAAUUUUAUCAUUUGUAUUUGUUAGAAAUGGAAUGAUUAAUUGAUCACGUAAAGGUGUGGUAUAUAGUUUGUUAGCCUAAAUGAAUAUAGUCUUUCUGAUUUUCAAUCAAUAAUGAUGCAGGAACUUUCCAUACUAUAUAUCUUUGCAAUGCUAUUGUUUCUUUUCUUCGUUCUGCUGCCAAGUUUGUCUUCAAUUUUUCACUUCAUUUUUCACCGAGUUGACUAAACCGUGCAGUUUCUUUUAUAGAUUGGUUGACGUGUUUGAAUAUAAUUUACAACAAAUUCUACUUCUCUGAUAUAGUAGGACCGUGAAACAUUGUUAAGCUUCUUAGUGUUCUAUUUUUUAUAUUUCUUAAAAGACUCUAAUUGGCAAUCCUUACAACUUUGAUUUCCAGCAAUACAAUAAGAUUUGCAUUCCCCUUGUGAUGACAUAAAUUGUGUCAGAUUACAUGUUGCCCCUCUCUCUCUCCCAGAUUACAUGUUGCCCCUCUCUCUCACACACACACAAUUACAAAUACAUGCUAAGGCUGAACUUGGGUUUUGAACUUUUGGUAGUAUUUGAUAGAUGUUAUAUCCCUAAUAGACAUGGUAAUAUUACAAGUGAGAAAUGGUUUCAAUUGGUAACUACAACAACAACAACAACAAAGCCUUUUCCCACUAAGUGGUUUCAAUUGGUAACUGAUUGUAAAUAUUCUUGCGCUAAAUGAAACUAAGCACUUAGAAAAAUAUAUUAUGUGCAUGUCUUGGUUAGUAGGAAUUGUAUUUAGACUUUAUAAUAUGAUAGCAUUGUAGCACAAUCUUAACAAGUUAAGAUGUGGACCAACGGUUAUGUUAUGUUCUAACACUGCCCCCCAAUCUUGGGACUCUCUUUAUCACAAGAGUUCAUUUGUGGAUUUCAAGCUUUGUUGGAAGGUACAAUUGCAGAGACUUCAACAUUGAAUUCUCAUGCUUUGAUACCAUAAUAAAAUUUUAUGUUGUUAAGAUAUAAAUCGACAAUUAUUUCAUAUUCUACUAUUAAAGAUCAAUGGUCUAGUUGCUGAAGUUUUAUAAUCAAAUCAGGAAGCCAUUGCUGGAAAAUGCAAUGUUCUUUGCAUUUCAAAAGACAAGGAAAAUCCUCAACCAUCAGAUGAAGAGCUUCAAAUGGCCGAAUUUGUGUUUCGUCGAACCUUUGAUGUUGGGCUGCAAAAAAUCACUGACAAGAUAGAGGGAGCAAUUGCUGGGAUUGAUGGUAUGUAUAUCUAUCAACUCGGACCCUUGUAGUUUGACUUAUAGUUGCAUGUUUAUUUUCAUAUUUUGAGUCUUAUAUCUUUGUUUAUGUAAUUGUUGCAGUUAAAUUCAUGUUUAACAGAAGGGAUAUUCAGAAGCCUGGUGGCGUUCUGAAAGUUGAUUUAGGAAAAAAUGAAGUUUGUGGGAAUUCCAUAGCAAGUAAUGAAACAGUGGUUCUAUCAAACAAAAAUUCAUUUAAAGAAAAUAUCACUUUAGAGACAAAUGGAAAUAUUGUUGAUUCGUCAACACUAGAAAAGGGUGAUUUGGUUAAGCAUAAACCAUCACUUGUAGAAAAACCUGCUUAUGGUGUAGGUUUAAAUUCAAAUGAAAAGGAUAAAAUGAAUGAAAAACAGGAACAUGUGUCAAAUCCCAAGGUCUUGUUGAGUUCUGAAGUUAAAAGUGAUGAAGGUGAGGUUAAGUGUGGUAAAGUUCAUGCACAACAAGUUGAAGUGGAAGAAAAAGUGAUGUUCACUAAGGAUAACGUUGAUUCGGAUAAUAGGCCAACCAAGAAGGCGAAGCUUGAUAAUGGUAAAGGUAGUGAGCAAAUACUUGCGAAGGUAGAAAGAAAGAAAAAAUGUACCAAUGUUUGUGAUUCGAAGGCGAAGAAUGACACUUCAAUUGAAGUGGUCAAUGACAAAAAGAAUAGUAGUGACCUGAGUUGUAUGAAUGUUACAAAGGUUGUAUCCCCAAAUGUUCCUGUUGAAGUGGAUCAUGGACAAUCUAAAAAGCCGAAGCUUGAAUCUUCGAUUGAAGUGCCCAAUGACAAAAGCAAAAGUAGUGACCUAAAGCAUGUGAAUGCUACAAAAGUUUUAUCAUCGUCUACCUCUGCUCUUGAUGAUAAAUCCAAACUUAAGCGUGCAAAGGAUUCUCUUGGAACAAACAAUGCCCUUCUCAAGAAGAUGAAGCUUGAUGACAAGGCAAUGACCAUUUCCGAAGGCAACAAUGGUAAGUUGCCUAAAGCAUCUCAACGUAAAGUCAAACAUGUAGAGGAUUCUCGUGGAGCAAAUGAAGAGUCUUGCAAGAAGAUAAAGCUCGAUGAGAAAGCCAUGGCACCUUGUGAUGGCAAGUUGCCUAAAGUACCUCCUACACAAUCUCAAAGUAUGGCCGAAAAGGUUGAUGGCCAAGAAGUUACUCGACGUCCCGAUGUUGUAAGUAAUGCCAUUCUUUCCUCUUUUCAUUCUAGUCCAAAUGAUUCCCUUAUUGAGAGUGUGAGUUGUCGUUAUUCCCCACAUUAAGUCGAAUAUUGGUGUCAUUUCUAGCAUGUUUUUUUCUUUGGGUCUUACAAAUACCAUGCAUUGUUUUAUAUGGUGGAGUGUCCAUAUAUCCUAUCUCUCAUGGUUGAGGGUUUUUCCAAUGCAAAACUUUGGCGACUCCCUAGGUUGUCAUAAUUGGAACUACUUUUAGCGUUGAUUUUGGAACGUUAAAUACUUUGGAGAAGGUUGAUAGUUAUGUUUUCGCAAUUGCAUAUCCUUGGAGAUGCUCUAAUUAUGUAGAGGUAGGAUGUUGGAGUUAAGGCUUUUGUAGUUAAGGCACAAAUUGGCACUUGAUUGUAGCAUUCGAUAAUUGAGUUCUACUCAAAGAAUUGGCACUCAUUCAUUGUACACCUGUGGCGAGUUGACUCUCGUUUGUACUUAAUUGUGGUGUGGACAUUGUGUGUCAUGUGCUACACAAGAAUUGCUUCAUGGCUUGCCAAAAUUGGUUUUUUUUCUAAAUGAAUAAUGUCAAGGCUAUCACAAACUACCAAAGUUUUCAAGGAAUAUUCAAAUCAUCAACCAAACUUCAAAUUUGCAGUGCUUCUUUCAUGACUUGACAAUGUUUCUUCAUCAAAUUGUCCAUUCGCGUCAAUUGUUUUUCAUGUUCUUGCCAUGCAGAAUUAUGGUAAAUUUUGAAACUUAUGGAGUUCAAAUAUAUAAAGUUGAACCAUUCCCAAAUGUUGUGUGCGAGUUCAUGUCAUGAAUUAUUUCGCUAGUAGUUAUAGUAAUGGCAACAAUGUUCCACUAUUUUAUUUGUAGUUAAGGUAUCUCCCUUGUUCUCAUCGUUGCUAAAUUUGAUUAGUGUCCACGUGGUGAAACCCUUAUUGGGUUGAAAGUAGUUUUUACUUGUUUCCUUCUUCAUUGUGCUCCUUUCAUUUAGAACACUAAGAGUGCGUUUGUUGCAUCGACUAAAUCGGACUAGACUAGCUUCAUGGAUUUAGCCGGACUGACUUAGAAUAGACUAAGCUGGACUGACUUAGUUAAGUGUUGGGUGCAGGAUAAUUAUACAAACUCUAAUAUUAUAUUAUUUAAUCCAUAUCUAUUAGUAUUUUGAUAUUAAUUCUAUCUUUUUCUUUUUUAUAGAAACCUCUUCCUCUCUCUUUAAACCUUUCCCUCUUUUUCUUUGUGCCAUUCUCUCUCUCCCUUCUUCCUCCUUUUCUCCCUCCAACUCAAGAAGUUGGAGAGCUCUAGAAGGCACGACAAAUCAAAUCCCUCCAAUCCCAUUUGAAACUCGAAUCGAAUCCCUCUGGAAGUUGGAAGAUCAAGAUGAAAAACCCAGAAGUCAAGACGAAAGCUAAGCUCGAUCAUUUACUUGUUGGAUCCCAUUUGAAACCCAGAUCCAAUCCCUCAAAAUCAUGGCCUCCUCCUACCCGAGCACCACCGCACCCUUUUCUUAGGCAACUCCCACAACCACCUAACGAGAACAACCAAUCCUCAUCGCCUUUGUUCGAAUGGGUUCGAAUUCAGAAGCCAUUGAUGCCCUUUUGCAGCAGAAGCUCUUAAGUGGCGGGGACGACGAGGCACUCAAGAUCAUGCGCAGCCUUUCACCACUGAGUGGAAGUUCAUGAUGGAGAGGAUUCUCGUUGAAAUGGGUGAAAACGAUGGGGACAAUGAACACGUAUUGCUAAUCCCAACUUUUCACACGGUAUUAGAGGUGAGGCGCGAAGGCUCGUCCCACUUAAUCUCAUUAAAGCUAGUCCUUUAACCAUGCCAAACAAGGAACUAGGACAAUAACUAAGCCAAUCCUAGCUAAGGAGGCCAAACAACCGGGAAGGGCUCAUUUGGAACUUCCUUUAGAAUGGAUAAAAGCAUUUUUAGAUAACCAAGGGCACUUUCUUUUUUAGGAAGCACGAUUACUCAUAAGUGAUUUUAUACUCAUUAAUCUUUUCUUAUUUUCACAUUAGAUGGUUUCAAACUGUGGACCUAACCUACUCGUGCAAGUCACCCUACGUCCACCCUCAAUACUAGGCUCAUAAGUGCUUUUAUAAGCCACAAGCAUUUUUAAGUUUUUCUACCAAGCGUUGAAGAAGUUUUUUGGUUAUCCGCAAGCGCUUUAAAGCUCACUUGGAACUACUUGUUUAGAAAGCGCUUUGGCUACAAGUGCUUAUUAAACACCAGUUGAGGGUUUGGUAGUCAGGUUUACUGUUAGUUCUUUUGUGUUAUUAAUGCCUAGUUCUUCCAAAAUGAUAACAUAAAGAUUCCCAAAAAGUUAACCUUGUAUUUAGUUCUUACAGUUGCUCAUCUUCAUUCUUGCAGGACAGAAGAACAUGGUUCAAGGGAUUUGUGAGUUGUUCAUUUUCACUUAUAUUCUUGGUUUUAAUUGUUAAUUUUGAAUCUCAAGUUUUUGUUUAUUGUUGAAUUUGAUUCUAGUGCAUUGCACCUGUAAGGCCUCAAAACUGUCUUCCACUCUAUUGCCUAGGGGCAAGGAAACAUAAUGGGGUGUUCUCAAUUUGAACCUCAAUUAGUAAUUACUUUCACCAAAAAAGUUAAAAGAGAAGUUCCUUUAAAUUGACAUUUAAUGGAUGUUUUAAUGUGGACGGUAGUGGGUGCCAUGUUGGACUGAUGAAAUGUCUUUUAUCAAUGUCAGCCUUGGGAGGAUAGAAUUCAGGCUGCACAUGAGCAAGGCACCCUUGUUCUGCUCCAGAAUUUGGAUCCAGCAUACACUUCAGCACAAGUGGAGGUAACAGUUGCAUUGGAGCUUUAGUUGCAAACACUGUUAUUACUUGGAGUAUAGAUUUUGAACUAAAUGUACUAAUGCAGUAUGUAGUUGUGUGUUUACUCGUCCAAUUUUUCAUCUUUGUCAACUCUAGGCUGCCACUUACUUAUGUGUUGGGUUUUCUACUUUAGAGCAACAUCUCAUUUGAUCUUAUGUAUUACAUUUCAGGACAUACUAUGGCAUGGUUUUAAGGAGAGCUGCACGGCUAAGAUGAUUCAGCGGACCGCCAAUUCUAGUCCUCACUAUGGUAUGGAUAAUUUAUUUAAAUCUUAUAUUUAUUCUCCUAUCUAUUUUCUCAGAAAAAUUGACUUGAUCUUGUGUUUAGAUGAUAAUAUUUAUUUGUAAACACAACAUGGAUGAAAUUACGCUUAUAGUCUAAUUCUAAAUUAUUUGUUUGUUCAUAUUGUAGGACAAGCUCUUGUUAUUCUCAAAACUAGGGAAGCAGCACAAAAGGUUGUUAGAGAAUUGGAUAAGAGAUGUUUAUUGUUGUCAAAUGGAAGGUUUGUAGUUGGCUAAUAUUCUAGCAUAGGUCGUGUUAGCCUCUACAGCAUGAUGCAUCUUUUUGCUAUUUACUCUCUAUAUCUUGUUUUAUUUCUCUGUUCCACUCCCCAUUAAAUAAUUUAGAACACUCCACAUACCAAGUUUUUUAUUUUGAAGUCCUUUCUUAUGACGUACUGGUAAUCUUUUCUGUUGUAUCCUAUUUUUCUGUCUUAUCAAUUCAAAGCAGUUGACAUGUAAGAAGUUUUCACCAGGUGGUAUUUUUUUUCUCUAGGUUCUGUUAAUUAACUGUUUUUGAUUGACGAAGGAUACGAGCUUCUGUCAAUUUCAAUGUGAUUAUCAACUUUUACUUUAUAUACAGCUAAUUUCUGCAAAUAGGUGGUUCACAUGAUGAUAGUUUUUAUACGAUUUAUAGGCCUCUUGUUGGCAGCUUUGGAACUCCUUGUUCCUCAGAAAAGAAGGCACCCUUUUUUGGUCAUCUUACUAUUGAGAAACUACGGCACCAAAAUGCACGGGAAAUGGUACAGUUGCAUCUCUCUCUCUCUCUACAAGCAUCAACAUAUAUACAAGAAACACAAGCGUAUAAAGCUGGUAUUGUUUGUUUCUGUUUUCAUAGCCUUCUCAUCUACAUGUUUAUGUUUUUACCUUUUUGGAUCCAGAAAGAAGCCAUAUCUACUUCACAUUGUUCCCAGCCCAACACUAUUGAAUACGAUAUGGCCAUGGAGUGGUGUUUACAACAAGAAAGAUCAGAUCUUUUGUGGAGGAACUUAUAUAAGGUCUUGGAAAUAUUCAUUGUCAUAUAAAAUAUAUUGAAUUGUGUUUGAAUAAUAUGCUAUUUAAUGUUUGUGGGUGUUGUUUCCUUAGCCAAACUAUCUCAAAUGACUUUUUUCUCCUUUAAAAUUUUGUUUUAGCAACAAGGAAAGGAGUUGAGAAAACUCAAAGCGGAACUUAAACUCAAACCUGCACAUAAG